rnacentral:lncRNA from 1 species
CCGAAUCCGCGGGUCAAAUUUGAUCAAUUCAACUUAAUGAAAUUAAUAGUAGUAAACUCAUACAAUAGAUGGCAUGUAACACUAUUAUUAGUAAUAAUAAUGAAAGAAUACCAAACUUUUUCCUUUCUCCUAUUCACGUGAGAUUGAUAUACCUGAGCAGAUAACAUUUCCUCAACUUCAUGCUUUCUAAUUAGCAAAUCAAUUAAUUAUUCAAACAUCACCAAUUUCCAAACUUCAAAUAAUAACUUGAAACCAAACUUUUACUCUUCAUACUAAAGCAUGCAUCAUGUUUUAAGAAGGGACGUGGGUCUUUGUACAAGAUUCCACAAUGAAAUUAUUAGAAAAACAAAUUAGAAAAAGUUGUUAACAUCACUAAACCGGAACAAUAAACAUAAUGCAUUAGAGUAGAGUAACCAUGGGCUAUGAAUACAAUGCCUCGUUAUAAACAUUCCUGGAAAAAUGAUACUAUCAUCACCUAACCAGCAUUAAACUUGCUAGGCCAAACAUCAAAACUAUAAAGGAUUCAAAACCAUCUUAAAAUCAUAACAACAAGCAUAAUCCAAAUAAUAUAAACAAUAAUCUACAACAUUAACACACAUGCUAAGAAAUAAAAGCUACUGUCGAUGGAAGAAAUCGAAACGAGGGCCAUCAGAAAAAUAUGAAGUAUCUAGCAUCAAACUUACUCACAUCGGUGUCGUUGCCGGUUCGUGUUGUUGAAACGGAGUGUCAACACAACGCCGUUGUUCGUUGGAUGAGUGGGUGGUGCGGUUCACGUUGAAAUCCACGCGAGAGUGAGGCACAAAGGAGCUUCACGACGUUGCUGUGGUGAACGACCGACAUGCGGCGGUUGCGUUCUCAAGGUGAUCGAAAGGGGUUAUUGUAGGACGGCGGCAUGGUGAGUGAACGGUUGUGGUCGGUGCGAUCAGAGAUGUUGAAGGAUCAUGGAGAUGUUGUUGUGUGGCACGGCGGUGGUAGCUAUCCUCAUUGGUGGUUCUGCCGUAGACGAGGGCUUCCCUAGGGCUUCCUACUAGGCGGGAGGUUUCUGAGGUUAACCUCCCGUAAGAGCUCUCAGAUUCAUAACGGAUAGAUGGAUAUGUAGGCGAAGGACGGUGGUUGUAGUUGUGGUGGUGCGAAUCGCAAUGUAAAUCGACGGGUGGAUGAUUUCUGGUGGAUCGGUCUUCAGGGUUAGGGUUCCAAGGGGGUUGAGAGUGGAAGAUGAGGGAGACGUUGGAAGAAAGAAGAUCCAAACUUAUUCUUUCUUUUUUCUUUUUUUUCGUUGAAAGGGAGAGAGAGAGUAAUGAGUGGGUGAGAGAGAGCGUCAGUUAGUAAAUGAGUGUAUCCUUUUUAUUUUGUUUUUUUUCUUUUCCCUUCUUCCCACUGAGAGAAGAAAGAGUCUUUUUUCAUUUUUUAUUUUUUGAUUUUCUUAUUAUUUUUUUUGGAAAAAGAGAGAGAAUUGGUGGGUAGAGUGAUAUUAUUGAGUGGGUCGAGAAUCCUUUUUUGUGGACUCCCUCUUUCAUUUCAUGAGCCAGCUGGAAUCAUGGGAGCAACGUCCUUCUUUGGAGAAUGGGACACAUGUCCCUCUGUUAUUGGAAACGAAAAGAUACCCACUUAUUCUUAUCCCUCUUCCUUCCGCCAGCAAAUGAGGGAGAUAAUUGGAGAGACUUUUAAUUUUAUCUUGUUAUUUUGAAUAUUAAAGUAGGAGCUUGACAACUAAAUUGAAAAUAAAAUCAACUAUUCGAAAUAAACUCAAAUUAAUCAUCCAAUCAAUUUUACAUAAUUCUCACAAUUAUUUUGGCUAAAAAGAUAGAAAUAAAUGGAUCAAUCAUGAAUAAAAGUCGGGCGAAAAUUUGCUCGAAAAAUUAAACCGGACGCACUAGAAUGAUCAGCACGAAAUAUACUUUUUGAAAAAAUACAACUUUUCUUUUAAUUUUGAAAUAAAUUUUCACCGGUUAAAAUGGCUCAGACGGAUAAAAAUGCAGCCGAAAAAGUUGCUGAAAAAUAUAAUGAGCACACCAGGUUAAACUACAUGAAUCGUAGAUUAAUAAUACUGGCGUCUGCAGUUUUGAUUUUGAAAUUUUUUACCCGCUGAUUUUGCACGUUCUUGAGAAAUGAUUUAACCAAUUUGUCUGCAUUUUCAAUAAUUUAUCCUGACUGAUAUUUUAGGUAUUAUUCAUGAUGACAUGCAUGUCAUGUUGUGCAUAUGAUGCAAAUUAAAAAUGAAAUCAAAUUUACGAAAAGUUAAAAAUGUCUGGACAAAAUUGGGGUAUGACAGGUGCCCCUAUUUAAUUAACUUGAACUGGAAGGUAAGAAUGACAACGAUCUUCAUACAUUCAUGGUAGAGGGUAAUUAAAUAUGAAAAGACCCAAAUUUUUCCUUUGAAAUGCAAUGGAGAAAAUGCAGAAAGAAAAUGUAAUGAGUCCUAACAACACUAAGGUAAUAGGGGUAGAACGUCAAAUCAAAUGCCAAACCUCGAGUGGACACUCAAAUCUUGCAAAGGUCGUUAUUGAUGUAAGGGAAAAUGUGGGACUAAAAUUGAAGGGUUUUUUGGCACCCAAAGGAUGACAGUAGAGUUAAUUGCCACCACCAAAAGGAUGAUAAGAAUUCACCACGAUUUCCAAGAUCAUCAUCACCAAAAGGAUGAUGGAUUAAACCAAGCUUUAAAGGUGGUCAUCACCAAAAGGAUGAUGGCAAGAUUAAUAAUAAAACUUGUUGUCACCAAAAGGAUGAAAAUUAGACACAACAAAAUUUGCUAUCACCAAAAGGAUGAAAGUUAGACACAAUAAAAUCCAAAGAUCUCCAUCACCAAAAGGAUGAUGUCCAUCACCAAAAAGAUGAUGGUUAUCCUGAUAAAGCUUUCCAUUACCGAAAGGAUAAUAGCACGACUACCACCGGAAGGAUGAUAGUUAACUCAAUAACUUCAAAGACCACUAUCACCAAAAGGAUAAAGGUAAGUUCAAACAACAGAACUCAUUAUCACCGAAAGGAUGAUAAUAAGUCAAUAACUUCAACGGUCACUGUCACCAAAAGGAUGAAGGUAAGAUUAAUUACAAAACUUGUUACCACUAAAAGGAUGAUAAUAAGUCACGAUAUUCACCAUCACCAAAAGGAUGAAGGUAUUAUCAACCACAAAACUUGUUAUCACCAAAAGGAUGAUAAUAAGUCAACAACUCAAAUGAUCACCAUCACCAAAAGGAUGAAGGUAAUUGCCCCUGAUUGAGCCUUUGUGGGACUUGCCCCAGACAGACUGAGUAUUGAAGUGAUUUUCCUCCCUGAUCAACCGAUGUUUGGAGACUUAUCUUAUACUGAAAAAAUCUUAGAUCAACAUAAUCAUUAGAUUGCCCUGCCCCUAAUCCAUAGGAUUAUUAGGGGUUUUUGAUUUGUGUUGGAACUAACGAUCAAGUACCUCUCGAAUCGCCCUUUGUUGGAACUUCCUGAAGUCAAGUACUGACUGGCAGUUAAGAAUUGUUAUUCAAGAAAUGGUGAUCUUAAUGCAAUAGUUAUGCAAGUUUUUGAAAAACAAUCAUUCAUUUGGGGUGUUGUGGUAGUGUGUGACGAGUGGAUCAUGAGUCCAAACACGGUGUUGAUUUUAGCUAGCGUGUGAGUGAUACAGUGAGAAUAGAAUAUUAGCAAAUCUCUAGGAGUCAGUUUAUGCAACCUUGCUGUAGUGUGCUUUCAGAAUAAACCCUACUUCAAUUAGGUCUUUUGAGGAUUGUAAUGUGGCUUGGUUCACGAUUAUCGAAACAAAAGGAUAUAAGGCUCAAAGUUUAUUUUAACCCACCAUUUUCUUCAUGAUGAUCUCCAAUCCUACGUUCAGUUAAUUCAACACACACUUUACUUUUACAAGAGUUCAGUAGUGUAAAUCUCUUAAAAUGGCAGUCAUCUUAUUUUGCUCUUCAUGGAUGUUGGUGGCCCUUUGAUUUUGGCAUGGUGGUCACUGAAUCUUGUUUUACCUUGUUGAGGAUUUUCAUUGUCUCUUUCAAUUUUUGUUUUGAUCCCUAACUUUUGCAUUGAGCACUUUUGGAGCUUUGAUCCAUCGGGAUUGCCCCAGUUUUUUGCCUAAGUCUCCUUUUAGUGUGUUUUGACUUAGCAGGCUCUUUCUUUGAUUUUUUUUUUUGUGACUGUCAAGUCAUUGGUCAUUGAAGAACAACCGACAUAAAUUUUGGAUUUUGUAUGGUUCCCUCGACAUUUCAGGAGGCCAAAGUUUACCCCAUUUCAAGCCAUAAUCCUUUCAACCAUGGCUGCUAGAUUAUUAUCUGAUGCUAUAUCAUCAUGUCGAAUCUUCCGUAUGACAUUGUCGGUGUUUUGGUUUCUAUUUACCAUUACUAUCCUUGGCUCUCUUUCCUUGGGGAUUUGUGGUUCGAUCUAGGGGGUUCGACUCCUACUCCCUGAUUUACCAUCUCUGGUUGCAGCUGAUUUUGUGGAAUUUGGUUGGUCAUAGGGUCUUCUUCGAAGGUUUCUCCCGUGUUUUCCUUACCUAAUCCCUCGGAAGGUGUCGAUAAGGUUGCGCUACACCUAGGAAAUCAGACAUUCGCACCAUCUGCGUUGUCAUCUAUUGAUUUGAUUGAGCCAUAUUUUGAAUCAAAGGAUUCAAUAUGAUGGUCAACGUUUGGGUAAGCAUUUGGACCAUGUCAUGGUUGCUUUCGUCCAUCUGUUGUCUCCACACUGCUGUGGAAUUAUUGGUAAGGCUGGGUAUUUGUGUUUAGUGUCUCAAACCUGAAGGUUGGUUAUUUCGACCCACGUUAACCCCAGAUCCUGACCCUUGUACUAGGGAGUUUAUGUUGACUACUAGUUUUGAAAAUGUCGAAGCAACAUUAUGUAAACUUGCCAUUACUGAAGUUGGCAUUCCAUACGGUUGUUCUCGACCACCAAAGGGAAUAGAGAAACCAGGGGGUAUCGAAGGCUUGUUUAGAACAUUUUCAAUAGGUGGGGAUGGGUGUGUGUGGGGGGGGGGGGGGGGGGGGGGGNGGGGUGAGGAGGCCCCCUAGGCCCAAUGUAACUUAAAAUAGGUUCAGUAUGGGGAAUCAAAUGCAUAGGCAUCGAACUUGCCAUAGAUGGAACUAGUUCAGACACGUGCAUUGUGGUCGUGUUCACCCCUAUCGAAGAAGAAGGGGGUGGUAUAUUGUUGGUUGAUGGAUUUUGAGAAUUUUGGUUAUUUGGCACAUUUAAAUUCGCCAUUCUCGUGGUGGAUUUUCCCCUUGGCCUGUGUUCGUUGGUUGUGGCUACUUUAUCACUCCUUAAUAACAUACAACGAAUUCUUUUGAAAAGGAAAAGAUGAAUGAAUAACUAGAAUAAGGAAAAACAAUUUCAAGUUUCUAAAAACGUUAGCACUGUCCCACUGGGCAUGCCAAUUUGUUUACUGUGAAAAUUGGUAAACAACUAAUGAUCUUCCAAAUUACUAAAUUUGGUCACUUACAGGAUCAAUCAAAUUGGUCCUAGGACAUGUGUUGAUUGUUUAAAGUGAAUUCUAGUAAAUGCGAGUACUUCGACAGUAUUGUAAUGAUGGUGAUUAGUGAAACUAACUUAGACAAUAAAAGACUAACACAAAUUAAAGAAGAGAUUGUAAAAGAAAUUGAGAUAACUAGCAACAAAGAUGAAUAUUUGAAACAAAGAAGUAUUUCUGGAAAAAUAAAGAAAAAUUGCAUUACUUCAAAGUAACUAACAAUGGUGUAAAACGAACAUACAUUUCUUAAUUUACUAUUCCUCUUCACACAGAUACUUGGUAAAUUUUACAGACUCUGUACACACUUUGACACACACUGAUCCUAACACUAAGACCCUCUAUUUAUAUUAAUCUAAAUAAUCGUUUCUAACGACCUCUUAAUCACGUCGAGACAAAUGGCACUUUGCAUGGAUGCAACUAUCCAUUAUACUUCACGUGUACCUUUAUCAAUUUCAGAUAAGAACAAAGUUCCUGAUCGCGACUUAGUAAGUCUAUGGGAUUCGUGACUGCAAGUGUACAGUCUUAUCGCAUAGUUUUAAAGACUAUCGAACCCAAAUGACUAAUAAUCAAAUGUACCUUAUCUAAUGUUACUAUGUAAAUCUAAGCCUGAGGAUCUUUCUAAGAGUGGAGGGAUGAAGAGAAAUAACAACUAACGAAAAUAGAAUAUUAAUAAAAAAUUUAAUAGCGGGAUAUCGGUAUGUAACGCAUCAAACUUUGUGGAUUCGAUAGAUAGUUGGUGUAAUCUUAAAGACCAAAAUAUUCUUCAGUAGAAAUUAUUCAUUUAAAAAACUUUAUCUCACACUCUCGUUUUUAUUGACUCUGACCAUACUCUUAAACCAGAAUGCUUGGCUCUAGCUGUCUCAUUUGAAUAUAAAAGUAAUUUUUAGAAAUAAAUAAAGUCUAAUUAAUCCUAAAGCGCUCUCGCUGUGUUUAAGAUUAAUGCCUAGUUUCAGCUAUCCGGUUAAAAUAUCAAACUCUCGUUUUUAUUGACCGUAACCUUUGUUUGUUUUGUACUCUCGUGCGAAAAACAGUUUUGUGUUUAAAACAAGAAACUAUAACCGGAAAAUAAUAUUUUAUAAAAGCCAACACCAAUUAUUUACAAAUCUCGUCGUUUCGACGGUCUUUACAUACUGAUACCUAUUGGUUUAGCCGGACAUGGAUCCAGGAAUAGACAUGAUAUUCAGAUAAUUAAGCAUACAAUAAGGCACAAGCAAUUAAAACGAAAGUUAAAAUAGAACCUGGAAUAUAAAUCGAAAACUUGGAAUGAAUGUUGAUUCUUCAAAUUAAACAAUGUCGGAACGCUUUGGCAAUCGAGUACACCAUUACAAUCAAAUUUAGUUGCUUAAAUAAAAAUCUCAAUAGUCCCCGAUGUGGAGAAUCUAUUGCUCUUACAAGGCAAAAAUCUGCCUAGGAAAUCUAACAACAAACUCUGACUAAAAAGAUGCACCUCGUCCGUGAAGACUAACGUCUCUAUAUAUACUCCUCACUCCUCCAUAAAAGUAGCCUUGAAUAUCUACUAGUGGGAAGCGGUUGGUUGAAAGAGUAAAAACCGGGCGUGGCGAAAAGUGGGGAGAAGAACAAGGAAGAUCGGUUUGGUGGCGGCUGCCACAACCCUAAUUUGGUCCACGUGGCGGGCGCCACUUCAUGUGAGGUAGAUGCCACCUUCAUGUAAUGUGGUGGGUGCUACCACUUCAUAAACCUUUGUGGCGGGCGCCACCCUUCAUCUAGUGUGGUGGGCGCCACUAUUCAUAUUUUGCUCCUUUUUCUUUCCUUUUUUCUAUAGGUGGGUGCUACCACUUCAUAAACCUUUGUGGCGGGCGCCACCCUUCAUCUAGUGUGGUGGGCGCCACUAUUCAUAUUUUGCUCCUUUUUCUUUCCUUUUUUCUAUUUCCCUCUUUGCUUGCCUAGACAUCUCUUAUUUGAUAAAUACAUGAAAUAAACAUAAAAUACGGUGUAAUACUAUGGAAAAUCAAAUAAAAAGCAAUGCAUGCUAAGUCAAAUAUACGAUACAUUUUCACGUAAUACUAUGGAAAAUUAUUAAUGAAAUAAAUUUCAUUGAAUGGUGUUCAAUGCAUCGGUCAAGGUAUUUGAAAGUGGUUGAAGAAGGUUUAAUACACUGUCUAACAUGCAUGGGACAAGGAAUUUAUGGACUUGAUGGCACAACAGCAGUGUGAGCAUGAGGAUUGAUGGAGUGGCUGGCGCCACUUUGUGUGUGUGUGGCGGGUGCCCCCUAUGAGGGUGUGGCGGGUGCCACAAUGUGCAAAUGGGCGCCACAUGCAGUGUUGUGUGUGUUUCCCAUGUAUUCCCUUUUGACCCUGCAUUUUUUCAGGGUGCCACAAUGUGCAAAUGGGCGCCACAUGCAGUGUUGUGUGUGUUUCCCAUGUAUUCCCUUUUGACCCUGCAUUUUUUCUUUGACCACAACGUUUGCAUGUGAAUUUAAUUGACCAACAUUUAAUAGUUAUUGUAUAAUUAGGUGAAAGAAAAAUAAGAUACAUAGAAGUGGGAAUUAAGGAUUAAAUAGGAUAUGGUAAAAUGAAAUUAAAACAUAAAAUCGAAAAAGAAAAGAAUGAGGUAGAUAGGAAAGAAUAACAUAAUUCGUUUGAUAGAUAAAAAUGAAAUAAUUGAAAAUUCCCAAUGUGUAAAAAGAACAAUUAAAUUCAAACAUGAAAAUAAAAUGAAAAAUCAAUGUCAUUAAAUCGGUAAUAUUCAUAAACAUUAGCCAUUACGGCGACUGCCGGCAGGAGGAGCGAACGAGUAGUAGUGCUGGUAAAUGUGAUCCAAGUUCUCUGUCACUACAUCCAUAAAGUCGUGGAGGUCCACGCGCAAAGUGCUCAGUUCGCCUCUCAGGUUGGCGAUGUCGGUCUGAACAACGUCAAGGACAACAACAUGAUCAGUAAGAGGCGCAAUAGGUAUAGCAGGGGCACAUGAUUCAGUGUCAAAGAGAUAGGUAUUAUAAUGGUCAUAAAUCUGGGGUGUCUCUAGAGGAGACGGUGGUCCAUCCGGUGGUCCAUCCAAAUCAAAGAGCCAGUUGUUCCUAUCAUGUACACUCAUCCUAUGGUCUGGCAGGGUAAACAAGUGUACUACUUGGUGGUUAAUAAAAAAUUCAAACACAUCCGGGCCCAGGUUUCUAAUGAUACCAGUGUUGAAACAGAAUUGAAUGUUCAUUGGUCGUAUUCCACCUAGAGGGUUAAGUCUGAUAAGUGGUUGUCUCAAUCCAAUGGCAUUUGUGAUCAUGGUCACUAAUCCCCCUAUUCAGAUUGGUCCAUGGUUAGCCUGUGCCAUACGGUCUAUGUUAGCUAUCAUAAAUGUAGUGGCAUUAACAGGACGUUCCUGUGAUGCACAAUACAUUAUAAAGAGUUCGUCUUUGGACACGGAGGUUAUGUUUUUUUCUUUUCCAAAUAGGGUGUGAGCUAGGAUCUUAUGAAAGUAACGAAUGGCAGGGUUGUGGAUGUUCUUAGAAUGCAUGAGAUCCGGCUCGGGAUGGUUGUUUCCUGUAAUGCUACCCCAAAAGUAAUCUAGUUCAAGGUCAGUAAGCAGGUCUUCCUGGGUGAUGGUAAAGGUAUCAGGACCAUUAGGGCAUCCUAGGAGUUCAUCUAUUUCUCUAUGAUUAUAGUGAUACUCAAUAUCGAACAUCCUAAAGGUGAUGAUGCCUUUGUUGAAUUCGAUACCAUGAUUUGGCAAGUAAACCAGGGAGCUUAGGAAUUCUAAGGUUAGCCUACGGUAGGAACUAAAGUUUCUUUUGAUAGCAAAAGUAUCCCAUCCAAUUUGGUUAAGUAGGAACAUAACACUAUCUCUUAUACCUAACUUAGUCAUGGUACGUCCAUCGGGGUAUAUGGUUAGUGUCAUCUCUUUAUGAGCUAGAGCCUCAAAGCGUCUCCUUAGACCUCUGCCUCUGAAAACUAUAUUCGUGUAGUCUACUUAUUACAUCGUGAAAGUCAGUAGCAAGAUAAAUUUAAGUAGACGAUAACACUAAGUCAGUAAUAGUUAAUAAUAAAGAAAAAUACUGAGUGACUUUAUGAAAUAGAAGAAAGAAAAAAAUGGAUAGAUAAAAAAUGCCAUUAAUAAAACAGGAAAUAUUCGCUAUGUUUUACGUCGAUAGCACGAUGACUCAAGAGUGUAAGUACUCAUGGUGGUUCUUUCGAGGAUGAAUCCUCAGUCAAACUUUUAAUUAUCCUCGAUUUCCAUGGCCACUUAUCAAGCCAUCUCUCAUAUCCAUCACCUUUUCUUCUUUUUCUUCUGCGAGGUAGUUUAUCCUUCUGAACUUGUGGUGGUGGUUCUGGCUCUAUCUUGAGAGCUAGCUUUUCAGGUUUGGGUUCAAUUUUUCCAUCCACCACCUCAAAUUCUAACUUUCCCCUUUUAAUACUAAUGAGUUCCCUAGUCUCACGGUCUUCUAAUUUUCUCUUCUUAUUCAGGAUCUCAAAUAAAGGUGCAUUGGUGUGGAUAUUUUCCAAUAGAUCCUCAUACUUUCGGAUUUGGGUUCUACCUUAACUUCCACAGACCUUCGUGGGAAAGGAAUUGGUGAUUUAUAGGGAGGAGGAACAACACAUAGUGCUUCCUUCUCUACCUCUUCGACAACCUCCCUUUCGGGUGGUGUCGGUGGAUCUUUCUCAAUCUCUACUCUUUUCUCACCAACAACACAUAGUGCUUCCUUCUCUACCUCUUCGACAACCUCCCUUUCGGGUGGUGUCGGUGGAUCUUUCUCAAUCUCUACUCUUUUCUCACCUGAACCCUCCUCAUUAUCACUCUCCUUAGGAUUUUCGGUAGAUUUUUCACUGGUGAUUGUUACAACAUCCACAUGUUUCUCAGGGAAUGGUCCUAGAGGUGUUUGCGCAAGCAGGGAGAUUUGAGUCUCCAAUGCCUCGUCGUGAGUGACGAGGGACUCGACCACAGUGUUCAGUUGCCUAAGGGUUUAAUUGGUAUAGAGACUUUGUUUUCUAAAUUCUUCAUUCUGAAGAGUUUGUGUAGCCAUAAAGCAUUCCAUCAUAGAUUCUAUCCUAGAAUGAGUUUACAUCGCAAUGAAAUCCUCCAUUACUAUUUCCAAGUCAGAUUUAUAGGAGUGAUAAUCGUAGAGAAAAUUUGGGUGAUACAUAUUAAUAGAUUAAAGAGUGCCUUAGUCUAUACUGGGCAACACUGGAGUUACGAUAUCGACUAAAUUAGUCUCCGUCAGCGGUGCCAAAAACUUGAUCGCGACUUAGUAAGUCUAUGGGAUUCGUGACUGCAAGUGUACAGUCUUAUCGCGCGGUUUUAAAGAUUAUCGAACCCAAAUGACUAAUAAUCGAACGUACCGGUAUCUAAUGUUACUAUGUAAGUCUAAGAAUUAGGAUCAUUCUAAGAGUGGAAGGGUGAAGAGAAAUAACUACUAACGAAAACAGAAUAUUAAUAAAAAUAUUUAAUAGCGGGAUAUCGGUAUGUAAUUCAUCAAACUUCGGGGAUUCGAUAGAUAGUUGGUGUAAUCUUAAAGACCAAAAUAUUCUUUAGUAGAAAUUAUUCAUUUAAAAGACUUUGUCUCACACUCUCGUUUUUAUUGACUCUGACUAUACUCUUAAACCAUAAUGCUUGGCUCUCGCUGGCUCAUUUGAAUUUAAAAGUAAUUUUUGGAAAUAAAUAAAGUCGAAUUAAUACUAAAGCGCUCUCGCUGUGUUUAGGAUUAAUGCCUAGUUUCAGCUAUCCAGUUAAAAUCUCAAACUCUCGUUCUUAUUGACCGUAACCUUUUUUUGUUUUGUACUCUAGUACGAAAAACAGUUUUGAAUUUAAAAAAAGAAACUAUAACUGGAAAAUAAUAUUUUAUAAAAGCCAACAUCAAUUAUUUACGAAUCUCGUCGUUUCGACGGUCUUUAUAUACCGAUACCUAUUGGUUUAGCCAGACAUGGAUCCGGGAACAAACAUGAUAUUCAGAUAAUUAAGCAUACAAUAAGGCAUAAGCAAUUAAAAUGGCAAUUAAACUAGAACCUGGAAUAUAAAUCGAAAACUUGGAAUGAAUAUUGAUUCUUCAAAUUAAACAAUGCCAACACGCUUUGGCAAUCGAGUACACCGUUACAAUCAAAUUCAAUUGCUUAAACAAAAAUCGCAAUAGUCCCUGAUGUGGAGAAUCUAUUGCUUUUACAAGGUAAAAAUCUACCUAGGAAAAUCUAACAGCAAAAUCUGACUAAAAAGAUGCACCCCAUCCGUGAAGACUAACGUCUCUAUAUAUACUCCCCACUCCUCCUUAAAAGUAGCCUUGAAUAUCUACUAGUGGAGAGUGGUUGGUUGAAAGAGUAAAAACUUGGCGUGGCGAAAAGUGGGGAGAAGAACAAGGAAGACCGGGUUGGUGGCGACUGCCACAAUCCUAAUUUGGUCCACGUGACGGGUGCCACUUCAUGUGAGGUAGGCGCCACCACUUCAUAAACCCUUGUGGUGGGUGCCACUCUUCCAAGUGGUGGGUGCCACCCUUCAUCUAGUGUGGUGGGCGCCACUAUUCAUAUUUUGCUCCAUUUUCUUCCUUUUUUCUUUCCUUUUUUCUAUUUUCCUCUUUACUUGCCUAGACAUCUCUUAUUCAAUAAAUACCUGAAAUAAACAUAAAAUACGGUGUACUACUAUAGAAAAUCAAGUAAAAAGCAAUGCAUGUUAAGUCAAAUAUACGAUACAUUUUCAUGUUAUCAGUUCCCUCCUUAAUUUGAAUUUUGAAUUUCUGGUUGACAUUUUCACGUUAUCAGUUCUAAAGGAGACUUUUUAGGGUAACCUCUUCUAAGGGAGAAAAUUCAGCGGACCCGCUGGGGAUACACAAUGAGAACACAUGUGGGAUAAAAAUCCACUCGGAGUAAUACCACUGGCUUGGUUAAGGAUUUACCUGGUCCACCAUGAAAGGUUAUCGCGUUGCAAAAAAUAUAGAGUCACCACCGAACUUUAUUUAUUCUAAAUGAAAGGGAAAAUAUCACUAAAACCCUUAAAAGACAAAGAAGAUGGUCAUCGCAACCAAAUACGGAUUCGAGAGUCAAUUAUGCAAGGGGAAGGUAUUAACAUCCCUUACAUCCUUUGCUCAACGGGGAACAAUUUGAUUGUUUUGUGCGAAUGGUUGUUAUUAUCUAAAGGUUACUUGUGAUUGAUUUUAAUUAAGGGCGAAAAUAAGUUUUUGAUUAAUGUGCUCGCCAAGAUUUCAAAUCCUUUGUAUACGUAUUACCAUAGUGAAAUUAGAAAAUCAGAUCCCUGUAGUUCUUGGGGUAGAAAAUAAAUAUUUGUUGAUUAUUUUUAUUGAACGAAGUUAAAGUUCGCAUUCUAGCAGUUAAGCGUUGCUUGUAUACUCGCGCGCGGGAGUCUUAAGCGUUGUUUGUAUUGCGGUAGUACGAAAAUAACAUGUCCUUUAUGAAAUCUUUUGAAUGCCCUAAGACAAAAAAUUAAGCGUUGCUUGUAUACUCGCGCGCGGGAGUCUUAAGCGUUGUUUGUAUUGCGGUAGUACGAAAAUAACAUGUCCUUUAUGAAAUCUUUUGAAUGCCCUAAGACAAAAAAAAUUAAUUCGAUUGGUUGUGAUUGAUUUUAAGUGGGAGACAAGUAUCAAACCACAAGUUAAGUACGACCGACAAUACAAGUACUCGGGAGCUUAAAGGACAAGUGCAUCUUAACCUCUCUUUUUCAUCCCAAAUAUUUUUAUUUAUGAAAUUCGUGAAACAAGUUUAAUUGUUGGUACUUAGAGGGAGACAAACAUCUAACCACAAGCUAAGUACAGUCGACAAUCAAAAUACUCACGAGCUUAAAGGACAAGUGCAUCUUGACCUCUCUUUUUCAUCCCAUGUGUACCGAAUUAAACUCGUUUAUUUUUAAGUCUUUUAAAUGGAAGACAAAUAUUGGGCCACAAGUUAAGCACGACCGACAAUUCAAAUACUUGAGAGAUGUUAUAGACAAGUACGUACACCCCAUCCUUUUUCAUCUAGUUUAUUAUAAAAAGUGUUUUUUUAAAGUGAUUUGACGUUGGAUCAAGUGUUUGAAGUUGAUUAUGACAAUUGUGUGAAUUAAAUAGACGAGGUACUUGACGUUGAAUUAAGCACUCGCGUUGCAUUCAAUUAAGUUUGAUUUGGAAAACACUUGACAUUGGAUCAAGUUUAUUUUUGCUCUUUUGAAAAAAUUUAUUUUUAAGUCGCUUUUGAUUAUUUCUAAGUUAAUGGACGAAUAUGGAAAACGAUAAAAUUAUUACACGUUUAUGGGAGUGGGGUACACUUUGCCAAAUGGGGGUAAUAUGACAAAUGAAAGAGAUUUUUAAUUUAACCAAAUUUGAGAAUUAUUCACCAUGCAAUCAAAUGAGUUAUCAUAUAAUUAAUCAAUUAAAAUCAAUUAAUUAAAUUAAUUAAAAUUGAUUAUAAGAGUAUUCAAAAAGAAUAUGGUCAAAUAAAAAAUAAAAGAAAAAAAUCUAGCAUUAAAAUAAAGAAAAAGAUAAACGUGAUACAUAACAGAAAAUGAAACUGUGUUAUCGUCUUCCUCUCUCUCACUGACCAUAAAUUUUUUCGCCACCAAAACUCAAUCGAAAUGUAAAUUGGAGAUACCUUCUACUCGGUUUUCCACCCUCAACCUAACUCUAAUCUUCAAAUUAUUAGAAUCUUCACCAAUCAUAUUUAAUUGCAGAUUUUGUUCAUAAACCCUAAAGUCAAAAAGUCAAAUUAAAUAAGCAAGGGGUUUCAAUCAGCACGGCACAAGGAUUAUACUGAUAUCAAGAAAAAUGCGAAAAGAUUGAAGAAAAGAUGAUUUACCAACGGAGGGGAGAUUACCUCUGGUCAGUGUGAUGAUGAUGAACAGAGCGAUGAGAGAUUGAGCAGAGGUUGAGUCCUAUUCUAUCAGAGCUUCAAUAUGGAGCCUGAUGAAUGAUGUCAAAGGAGCUUUGGUGAUUUGUGGGUGAUGAUGAGGCUAUAAUUGGACAAAUUUAUUUUAAGGUGAGAAUUUUUUAUGAUAAAGAGUGAAAAGUGGUGGUUUUUAUAGGUGAGGAUGGAUGAAUUUUGGAGGGAAAUUCUGUUAGAAACAGUUAAGGAUAGGAAUGGCAACGGGGCGGAUCGGAGACGGUUUUUACCUCCCGCAAACCCAAAUCCAAAUCCCCAAACAAUUCCCAUUCUCCGCCUCAAAUCCAAACGGGGAUGAAGAAUUAAAACUCAAACUCGUCGCAAAUGGGUUCGGGUAUCCCCGCCCCGCCACCAUUCAUUUAGUGAAAUCAAUUUUUUUAAUAAAAAUAUUUAUUUUUUUCAAAGUAAAAUUACAUUAUAAAUAAUAAAAUAAAACAAUCUAAAAAAUUUCAUAAAUACAUUUCAAAUAUUAUAAAUAAUAAAUUAAAAUUAAAAUAUCAAAAUAUUGACCACAUAUUUAAUAUUCUAAAUUAUUAAAAAUAAAUAAUAAUGUACAUAAUGAAAUAAAUGGGGCAGGUUCGGGGUGGGUACUAGUGUCCCCAUUACCCAACCCGUCCACAUAUUUUAUAAUUGGGGAAAAAUCAAACCCGAACCCAAAUCCAGUCAAAGCGGGUUUUUCCCGUCGACUUCGGGGCGGGUUCGGGUUGGUACCCACAGGUACGGAUUAUGUUGCCAUGCCUAGUUAAGGAUUAGUGAUUUUGAGCCAUAGGAUAAUGAUCCUCAUGAGAGGUUUAAGAACGGUUAAGAUUGGAUCUUAAUGAAGUUAGUUAGAAUUUAUAUUUGUUUAAGGCAAAAAUCAGUUGAAAAUGGUUUUGUUGAAAUGCACAUUUAGAUAAAAUUUAGUGUAAAUUUAGUUUGGGUUGUUUGAAGUUAGUUUUUUUUUUUUCAAUGGAGAUUUUAACCGUUUCGAGCAGGUUGUUAAGUUAGGAUAGUUAGUUUGAAGUGAGUUAAUUCGAUGUCAGCUUGGUUUAUGGUUUAUGAUUUUGAAUGUCUCUCUGACUGUGUACUCUACUGUUAGUUACAUUGAUCAACUGCAGAACUCGGGCUGAAAUUUCGGCAUCUAACACUUCCUGAGAUUCACACUACAACCAUUGCAUUAUUUUGUCUUGAGAAUUACUGCAGCAAUAUGAACAAUCCAGGCUAGUUUGUCUUCAAUCACAAAUAGGUCAUUGCUAUCACUAAUUUGUAAUCUUUCCCUUUCCAUGUUUUCUUUAGAACUUGAUUGAGACUUUUGAGCAUUCAUAGUUUAUAGAGUGUAACUUCAGAAAAACUUAAGCAUAAGUUACUAGUUGGUGCAUCUAGAAGAAGUAAAGCUGAUAGAUAGAGAUAAUCCACGAUCUCACUUGUCCUCCGGGAAUAGACUCCAUGUCAUUAUAAAUGAAAUUGAUUUUCCUGAUCUAUCUCUAGCCUGUGAAGAGGAAUCAAGGACAGCACAAGCUACGAAUUCCCAAAAGAUGCAUGUGUAAUUCGACGACGCAAUAACCGGUGCAACUUGUUUCUAUUUAUCAACCUUUGAAUAUGUUUGGCCUUUGGGAGGUUUUUAAAUAUAAACUCUUGUAGUGAUAAGUAUCUUAACAAUUUUGACACAAUAUGUAUAUGGUAUGAGUACUUAAUAGUGUAGAUAUUAUGUGGUGUAUAUGGUGUACGUAAAAAUAAUUGUUUGAAUUAAUUAAAAUUCAAUUCGUUUCCUUUUAUUUACUUAUACUAAAAAUUACUUAAAACAAAAUAAAUUUAAUAUUUGAAAUACAAAUUUAAAUAUCAAAAAUGUAAGUUUGAUUAACUUUUAAUAUAAGAUGGUAAGAAAAAUAAAAAUACAAAAAAAUGCAGAAAAUGCAAGGAAAUUUUGAGCCAAUUGCACAUGAAUUAACAAUAAAAGCCAGUUGAGUCAAACUUUGACUUUUUUUACUUUUAUUCCAAAAUAUAUUUAUGAAUGAUAAUGAUAAAAAUGAGUUGUGAACAGAGAAUUAACUGUAAAUAAUGAACUCUUGGACUAUUCAUCCAUCUUUAUCUCUGAAUGACGUAAUGAACUGAAUGAUGAAAUGUAUGAACAAAUGAAAUGAUAAUGCUAUGCUUAUGCAGAUGAAAAAAAUUAGGGUAAAAUUUCGGGUAUGACAAAAGUUCUGGAUCCUGCCUCAUGUUAUGUAUGCAUGUUUGGAUUCUAUGGUGUAAUGCUCCACCUCGGUGGAUAUGCUAUGCUGAAAUGAUGCAUGAAAUGUUAUGAUCAAUUCAUGUAGGUGUGUGUUUACCGAUGUUUUUGGUAAAUAGUCAUGAGUUUGAAAUUCUGUGAGAUUAACUCAAAAAAUCUCCAAAGCAAUUUGUGCAAAUGAUUUGUUUGAACACACGUGCGUGUGAAUUGAAUGCAAUCGUCGCGUGAAUGAUAAAGGUGUAGAAAAAAACUUUAAAUGAACUCAUGUUGUGAUAAAUGAUAAGGUAAAAUGAAAAAAAUGAAAUUAAACAAGGAAAAAGUAAAAGUACAUGUUCAGUUUAAGGAAACAAAAGACUAAAGAAAAGACUGUACGCAAACGCAUACAUUUUCAUGCUCAAUUGUUUCGCUAUUUAACCCAGGCACUCUAGUGGUAUGGAUAGAGUGUAUGAAAUUGUGCGACCUUUGAUCCCAUCUAUGAGUAUACUAUUUAUUCUAUUUACAAAGUAACCGUCGACGACAGUUAUGACCACUAAGGAACUUCUGCAUUCAUUCCACGUUUGAUCUUCAAGUUCCCACUAGUGUGUUUACAUGUCACCCACAACAUUAUCUGUUUGAAACCCAUGUUGAGUUGUAACUUCUUCCAACUUCCUCUUGAACCUUCGAUGGUAAGUGCUCCAACGUGCUAUCGACGAUGACUAUCAAGGACUAUGGACUUAUAAAUUUACUAAGUCUUUCACCUUACCUGUCUCAGUCGAUUGGUCUUCUUAAUGAAAUAAAGGCUUCUAUCGAUUGUCAUUUUCGAGAUUCUGGACAUGUUUCCCAACGAUCCAGGUCUUGGGGAUUUAUCCCUGAGAGUCCUCAAAACCCCAUAUCCGUGUGUCGACGGCUCAGUCGAUCCCUCAUUAUUAGUCUAUUGAUGCUUCAUCAUUAAUUUUCUUUAAGAAUUUCAUUAAUGCUUUCUCAAAGCAUAUGUUUUUUCAUUGAGAUUAUUUGUUGACUUUCUACUAGCUGAAAAAUCCAAGUGUAACAGAAGCCCCCCUAAGAAAUGUCAUUGUCGACCUAUAUCUGAGGAGACAAAGGUGGCAUUGUUUGUAACCACUAUGUCAUUGUUCAUAUUUUGUGCCACGUCAUCCCAAUCAUGCCUGUUGUCAGUCAUUAUGACUAACUUUUCUACCAAAUGUUACGUCAUUAAAACGUGCAAACAAAAUUACAUCAUUACCCUGAAUUCCAAGGUCAUUAAAUAGACACUUAAGCUCAAAUUUAAGAUUUCAUUUUGAUUUUAUUAAUCAUAUUUUUCCUUCUUCGAGGCUACUCAUUGGCUCCAAACACUCCACCUAUCCAUGUUCUUGGGAAAACAUUUUUGCAACAUUUUCUGUCUAUUUAAGCUUCUCCAUUUUCUUGUAUCCACUUUCUUCCCUCAUUUUCAUCUUUGAAGACAACGAAAGCGAAAACCCUAAAUAUUGUUAUCCAAUAUUUUUUGUCUCUGCAAUUCUCUUACACCAUAUGAUUCUCAAAAUGACCCUUAAACGUCUCAUUCACGGACACCCUCAUUUUGCUACUGUUCUUGAUGAUUUGACUCUGGUCAAUGAUCAAACGUAUGGCCAGGAACUGACUCUUGAAUAUGCGCAUAAACGCCCUUGAUACACGAACUUGUUGGUUCCUUAUUCAGUUGCAGGUACCACUUUUGCUAUUAUGGGUCAUAUCCUGAAGCUUCCAAACUGCCCAUAUGAUUUCAAGAAUUGUUUCCCAGUUGUUCACUAAAGAAUUGGAGCCCUGUCGUUUUCAAAGGUUACUCAUUUGAUUUCAGUUUUCUGAAGAAACGGAUAUUUCACUCUUCACCUCCUUUUGAAGUUGCGGAGUCAGCUUAUAUUACCUAGAUGAACAAGAUAGAGUCGUAGAAAAGACUCUUGUGGGAAGAGCAGAGGAUAUAUGAUCUUAUUAAGCUCUCAAUGUGAUUUUGGAAAGUUUCUUCCAACACCUUCCAACCUUCUUGUGGGAGGAUUACUCACGUGCUUUUUAACCUUGUUGCUAUUGUUGGCCUUUGACCCACUGGGUAAGAUUACGAGCCUUCCGCUGAUACUGAUUUUAGUAUUUUGGGCCAUGCCUACAACAAUUUCAUUGAAGAGCAUCAGGGCUCUGGUGAUGUUGUUGAUGCUCACAAACAUAAAACCUUUCUAACCUUUUGGAUAUGCCAUUACAUCUUUUGUCCUCGUGGGAUCCAGAUCACCAAGAUGUAUCUCUCCUAUGCCACCCAACUUCAUGAGGGAGUGAAUGUAUGCCUUAACAAACUGAUCCUGGCAAGUCUUUAUGAAUCGCUGGUGUCAUACCCCAAAAUUUACCCUCCCUUUUUCCUUUUGCAUAAAGCUCAUAAUAUCAUGCACAACCAUUACAUUUGGUCAUGGAAUCACAAGCAUGACCAUAUUGUGUUUUGUAUCUUAAUCUUAGGGUUUCACUUUAUUUUGCUUGUCAAUUAACCCUAAUUUCAUGGAGAGAUGAUACUUGUUUGUUCUUGUUACUCAUGUAGGUGAUCAUGCUUCAAAUCAAGGCAAGACAAAGGUCUUUUGGCCAAGGGAAAUGCAAGUUUGUUCAUGUUGAUUCAAAGGUGGUUCAUGAGUUUACUUCCAUGCGACGUCACUCAAUUUUCAAGCUAUCUUCAAGAUCACUCAAGCCCUAAUCAAGUUUUCGUUAAUGGUUACUCAUCCCAUCAUCAUCAUGGCUUGAAAUGCAAGGAAACUUCAAAUUGCACAAACGGGCACAACUUGGUUUAACCUAAUUUACAAGUAUGUCAUGCCUUUGGUCUGAACUUCAUAACUCCUUCAAUUUUCAUCCAAUGAAGCUGAAUCUUUCAUCAACAUCCUCUGAAGUUGUCUGAAGCAUUUCCCAAAAUCCUUCAUCGGCAUCCUCUAAAGCUGUCUAAAGCAUUGCCUUGGUAUAAAUCCUUCUACAACCUAGCUUUCGGAUCAACCAUUGUUGACUUAUGAAGCUUCAUUCGAACAGGUAGAUACGAGUUACAAACUUGAGCAAACAAGUUACCACACUCUUCGCCUUGUUCCACUUAUCAAAAGCCCUCACUUACUUGUCAUUUAUUUUCAGUAUUCACCAUUUAAUUUUACUUUGAAGAACUAGGGAUCUUCGAGUUUUUGAGCAAAUUUUCCCUGCUUAGAGAAAACCAAUUGCUUUGAUGCAGGGAGACAUGAACGAUGAGAUGUUUUACAACUGAAUCCAUGCUUAAUUCGUGUUAAAAACAAGAGUUCAUGAUGUUGCAAGAUUGGAAAUCCGGAGGUUGAAGAUGAAGAUGUGCGUGCUUUUUGGAGCUAAAUUCAAAUACCUCAUCCAAUCAGGGCGAGCCACCUAGCUAUCUAUUACAUUCAACUCUUUUAAAUUCUUUUUUUAUUUCAUUUUUAUUUCCUUUUCUUCCAAAAUUAAUUUUAAAUAGCUCCUUUAAUAUUUUUUAAUCUAAUUCUUUUUCAUAAUUCCAUAAAAAUAUUUUCUACCUCAUACCAUGUUUUGCAUUUUUUAAAAUCAUUUUGGUAUUUAAUGCAUAUUUUCUUUUAUUUUCCAUUUAAUUUCCUUUUUUCAUUUUUAUUUUAAUCUUUUUUUAACUUUUUUGGUCCCAACUCUUAAGGUCAAACCUCUCAUAUUUUUGUUGACCUCUCACAUUUUUUUUGGACUUUUAUUUGAUGUUUUGAUCCCUCUUUGAUAUUUUUUUAUUUUCUUUUAUUAAUCAUUUUAAAUUCAUUUUUAAUCACUUUUUUUUAUAUUUUUGAUGAUCACUUGAUGUUUUGAAAUGAGUUGAUUGCUUGGUUGGUGACUUAUUCCACAUCUCAAAUCACUGAUAAAUUAACUUGAGGUUGAUUCAACCUUCUUUGAUCCAUAAUUGUUGAUAGAUGAUCAUGAAUCAUCUUCAAUACUUUGCAUCAAUGAUAUGUUAACCCUCGAUGCGCCAUAUUUUGAGUCCUUUGAUUUGUGGAUAGAAUGAUUCCUUUGUGGUUGCCUUGAUUUACCUCUUCACUCUUUCUACUCUCAUCUCUUCUUUUCUUUUUGAUCAUUAUGUGACAUGGCUUGAGAUUAACUUUGUGUUCAUUUUCCAACUUGUCUGACACAUACAUUGUUAUUGGUCGGCCUCAUAUAGGUAUGAAUUCUAAUUAAGCAUACUUACGAUUGCUUAACAUAGUGCAAAAUUGUCCUGACACAAUUGACUAACCAUUAAAACCUAACAAUAAUUCUUUCUCUUUACAUUAUUGCUAUUUAAUUCAAGUCAUUUAAGUUUAUGUCAUUUAAUUUUAUAUCAUUUACUUAAUGCACUUUAAUUUUAUGUCCCAUUAAUCAUCAUAUCACUUCAUACUCUAUUCAUCUUGCUAUAUUCAUAUGUUGCUAUAUUCAUAUGUUGCUAUAUUCAUAUGUUGCUAUAUUCAUAUGUUGCUCUUAUCUUGUUUGAUUGCUUGCUUGUUAUUCUUAAUGAAUCAAAACAUGAUAAAGUAACUUGGACAUAAUCUUAAUUCUAAGCUUGAUCUGGAGUAUUGAAGACCUUUCGAACUUUGGACUUUGACUUAAGAUUUAGGCCAUUUGCUUGACUUUGAGUGAUCUUAGACCCUGAGACCUUGUGGACACCUUGACUUGCAUUUUUUCUCGUUGAACCCUUGGGUUUGUGUGUUGUUUCAUCUGCUUUAUGACUCUUGCCUAUUGCAUUCAUCUACCUAGGCUUAGCACACUUUUUCACACACAUGGCUUUCUCUUGGGCUACUUGACAAUGAGACCUUAUGCUAUUCUUUGUAUAAUCAUGCAUCUUUGUUUGUUCAUCAAUCCUACUCCUUUGAUUUGGCUUGAUCAAAUUCACAUUUGAUCUACUAAAUCCUUUCAUUUGUUACAUUUCCUUUUUGUCUUUGCCUAGUGACCAUAAAUCCCUUGGUCAGUUGAUGGGACUUGCCUCUGUCACUUUGGAGAUUCAGCCUCCCAACAAGUUUAAGUCUUCAGUUGAAUUUAGCUUUCCUCAAUAGUCAGUCGUCUGACUCAUCCCCACAAGUAUCCUUGGGUACCUGCAUCAAUAAAUUAUCAGUCUUUGAUUAGACUUGCAUGCCAUGAGCCUUAAGCAGUAGAAAAUGAUGAGAUGGGCUCUUCCAUACCCUUGUCUAGAGUACCUAUGUGCACAGAAUGUAGACCCUGGCUGCUCAAAGUAUUUGUUUCUAUUCAUAGACUUUAGUGUAACUCAAGUCAAUAUAUUGACAAGUGUGUAACUCGCCUCUGUGGCUCUUCUUUUCAGAUCCUUUUGGUUUAAACACCAUUAUAAUUUUAUUUUUGGGCUGACACCUUCAUGGUUAUUAUUAUACACAUAUGCUUCCAUUGUGCCAAAUUAUGUCCUCUUGAUAUGUAGACCAAUAAUCUUCCAUUGAUACCACCAGGAAGCUAUUGUUUUACACAUUGAAUACAUUUAUGACUUUGUAAACAUCAUACAUAUGCUUGGAAAUGUCCUAGUGAGCAUAUGAAAAUGUCGUAAUAAUAUGGGAGCAAGGCAUACGAAAGGCUUGACACUUUCCACAACCGCACCAACCUUUAUUUAGUUGGACCUUAUAGUCUCCAUUUUCCCUCCCCUCAUUGUAGUACAUUGUUUCUUUUACACUUAAAUAGUGUUUAUGAUGGUCAAAGGUUGUAACAACAUGUGUGUUAGCUUUAAGAGUUUCCUCCUUCACCACUUUCAUGCAACUUUUAUUGAAUAAUUGCCCUGAACAUAAUACUGAACUCCAUUUUUCUCCUAUGGUUGCGAAAAAUGAUCCCAACCUAAAAUAUGUUGCUCUCACCAACGCGAUUAUUGGUAGGUUUAUAAUGCAUUUGAAGACGUAGUUCAUGGAUUCAACAAGGUUUAUUAUCACGUGGCCCCAUCGGCGUCCUUCGUCAAAUGUCAUUGUCCACUUCUCCAAUGCAAUGUUAUCCACCCGCCUUAAUGCAUCUGCAUUUGACAAUCUAAUUUCAUUGUUGUAGUGUCAAAACAUACACAAGACCUCUUAGAAAUGCAAGAACUUCUUAGGGAUUACGGUGAUGUUCCUGAGACCUCAAAUCCUCAAACACCUGGGGUAAAUCAACAACGAGUUAGGGUAUCUAAGGGGCAUGAAACUGGUGGCCGGUAUGACCAACCUGGUCGUCAUUGUUUGUGUAUGUAAAAGUAUUUUAAAUUAAAUAUUACUGUUUAUUAUUUAUGUUUAAAAGAAAUUAUAAUACACAUUGGUUCUAGAUGAAUUGGUGCCACAUUUAAAAAGGUAUACAUUGGCGCCAAUUAAGGCUGGCAACACCAUAUGCAGUCUUCAAUCAAAUUGGCUCCACCAUUGAGAAAGUAGGUAAAGUCGCCAAUUCGUCUGGCACCACCACUAUGUUGUAAUGUUUUUUGUUUGAAAGUGGGAUAUAUUGAGAUUUUUUUUGAAACCUGGAUUAUUUUUAGAAUAAAUUUGAAAAUAUGGGAUAUUUGGGUAAAACAUUCGAAUUAUUUUGGAAAUAACAAUUUUGAUAGGUGGAAAGUGAAAAAAAUGCAAGUAAUAUUGAUUUGAUAAAAAUAUACAAAAGAAUUAAAAGACGAGGUAUUGAUGUCAGCAAGUAUAAGACAAAAAUAGAACACCGAGAUUAUGAAUAAGAAUAAAAAUAAAAGUAUCUCGUGUUUAGGUGAUAAAAUGUUAAGGGAAGUCCCAAGAGAUCGAGAAGAUCACAACUGAAAUGUGGGUUAAGUUUAAAUAGUUGUAUAUGACCAAGUUCCUAUCCCAUAGGUUAUGUAUGAAAUAAAAUCUCUAUUCAUUUCAAAUGGUAAAUAACAAAUACAUUGUGGAGCAAUUGAAAGAAUUUCACAAAAUUGUUGAUGACUUGCAAAAUAUUUGAGGUGAAACCUGAUAAUGAGAACAAAACUUUGAAGAUAGAGAAAAACAAGAAGGGGGNGGGGGGUUGAAUUGUUUUCCCAGACAAUAAUUUUUUUGCAAACACCACUCAUACGAAAAAUCAAAGCAAACAACACAAAAGUUUAUCCUGGUUCGCUUGAAAUUCAAAGUUACUCCAGUCCAUCCGACCAAGGUGAUUUCGCCUUCAAAAAGGACUUAAUCCACUAAUCUUGAAAGAUUACAACAACGUCUAAGAGUCCAAAGAUCUCUUAGCCCUCCCAAGUUUACAGACUUCAAAAGUCACUUGAGGAAAUAUUACAACAAAUAUUAAAGAGUUACAAGAGGUGUUUAAUGCUUCUAGGUAAGCAGAAAAAACACAGUAAGAACAAUUAGAUCACACACUAAUGAGAAAAAACUCGUGUGAAAGAGUGAAGCAAGAAUUAGUGAGUAUUUGAAUUUGUGAUAAGCAGAAUUCUUGUUGAGUAUUUCCGUAUCAUGUUAUGAUGAAGGUUAGAACUUUAUAUAGUGCUUGGAGAUGAUAUCGUUGGAUGAUGCAUUGAUGCUGAUAUCUUUGCCAAUGAUGAAACUGAAUUGGCAUUAAGUUUGUUGUCCUUUCCAUAGAAGUUUAAGAGAGUACUUAAUUUUCUCCAUAUAUAGAUUUCUACCGUAGUUGGAAUACUUCGUUGUUAAGUCUUGAUUUAUUCUGACAGGUGAGAAUCAGAGUGCGUGGAGUUCAGAUACUUUACUCAGAUAUCGUAUUCUUCAGAUGGUUACCUGAUGUGUUCAUUAGAAGCUCUUGAGUUAUCUUAGACUUUACGUUCCUCAGAUGUAGUGAGCCUUAGACACUUCAGAGGAGAGAUCUUUCAGAUAUAUAAGGUCAGAGCCUUGAGUCAUCAGAGCAACGUAUUCAAUUGUAAGUUCAGUUGUUCUGGAUUUGCUUAACGCUUAGACUGUGUUUCUUCAAAUGCAGUGAUCGUUAGAGCCAUGCACACUUAGAGAAUUUUGUUAGGGUACCAAAAUGUUUCAUCCUUUGUUAUCAUAAAAACUUAAGGAUUAAUUGUAGAAUCAAAAAAUCUUGUUCUAACAAUCUUCCCAUUUUUGAUGAUGACAAAACUACAGACUGUUGAUGAAACAAUGAUACAUUAUAAUAAUAAAGGGAAGUUAGUUAUAGAGUCGGAUGUAUUGUAACUCCCCCUGAGAUAAGAAAUCUCCUCUGAAUAUGAUACAUAUGAUUUAGAUGUUCUUACCAGAUCUUCUUACGUUGCUUAGCUUGUUUCUCAGAUGCUUUACUUAGAUCUUUCCUGCAAAAACUUAGACAACAAGGAUAUUUUUGGAAUGUAAGCAGUGCAUUAUGAGGCUUAGAUAUUUAUUUCAUCAUAAGGCUGUUGAAUUAUUUCUCCCCCUUUUUGUCAAACUCAAAAAGACAUAGUCAAAAACAGUUAAAGCAAGACAAAACUUCAUUGAUAAGGAAAACAGGUGAAGAAUAGAAAAAUACUUAGAGGAAAAGAAUAGAAGCUAAAACACUUAGAGAAAAGUAACAGAAACCCUAAGGUGCCUAAGGUUUUGGAGGCGGCGGCAUCCUUUGCAGCAGCUGAGUCAGUAGAUUCUGAAUGCUGGAGUUGACAGAGUCUUGUUGAUCCAGUAUGGCUCUAACAAUCUUUUGUUAUUUCUGGUGUUCCUCCAGAGUCUUCAGCACUAGUGGAGCAAGAUCAGAUGCAGGUGACUCACGCUGAGUUAGAGCUACGUCCUUUGCCUUGGCAGAUUCUUCCGCAGUAAUGCGUGCUACUUCUUCAGCGUCAGCCUUGGCUUUGGCUUCAACUUCACCGGCAGCAGCCUCAGCAACGGCCUUGUCUUCUGCUUCCUUCCUUUCUUUCUUUUCAGCUUCCAGUCUUGCCUUUUCUUCAGCUUCCUUGUGAGAUUUCUCUACAGCUUCUCUUGCUAGACGAGCCUCGGGCCUCUCUUCAGCUUCUCUGAUGAAGCCGUUUCUGACUUGUUCAGAGAGGCCUUUCAGCUUGAAUACCUCAAAUGUCAUCCAUUUGAUAACUCUAUUCCAGUGAAUCCUCACUUUAGAGGGAUUGUCACUUAGCUUGGAUUUUUUAGACAGUGAUUUGAGCUUCUUUGUUGAAGACUCAGAAAAUAAAGCAACUGCCUCUUCCAGAGUGGGGAUGGUUGUUUCAAGGUUAGAGGUGAGAAGAAUAGUUUCUGGUGGGGUAGGGUUGGUUUCAGUGAGAGAGUCAUAUGUUUGUGUAAUAGGGUUUCAGAUAGAGGUUCGGUGGGAAGUUCAGAAGGUUGAGGUUCAGAUUGCGGUGUUGUUGGAUGUUCAUAUGAGGAAGGGAUUGAUGUUUCUGGCUUAGAUGGAUUUUGAUUAGAGAGAAUGUUGGCCUGGAGUUGAGCAAGUGUCGGGGAUGGAGGAUCUGUUGGUUUUCGAUGGUCAGAGUCAGAAGAUAUGUCAUAGUAAGGUGGAGAGGAGGGAGUUGAAGAGGUAUGUGAGAUUCGUGCAUUAAAGAGUAAGGCCUCAGAGACGGGGAGUGUUGUGGUGGUGAGACUAAAAGGUUGAAGGGGAGCUGAGGGUGGGUUAGAGGUAUGAGAUUCAAAGGGAUUUGAUGGAUAUUAUGGGUUCAGAGUUUGAAAAGCAACGUAGGGAGAAUCAACUUCAAUCCUUUGUGAAGGAAGUAAAGGAUACACUUCUGAUCGGUGUUGAUGUAGUCUGAAGAGUUUGACGUUGGGCGGUGGUGAAUGGUGCCCAGAAUGAUCUUCAACCAAACUCUCAGAUUUUGGUGAAGUUCUUUGUUCUUGGAGGAUCUACCGUCAGAGCCUUGUUUGAAGAUGGUGGGAACAAUUUCCUAAGACAUGUAUCGUGCCCUAGGGUUUAUGUUAUAGAUUCUUCUUCCCCUAGUUUUCUCCAUGUUCAGAAGUGUCGCAUCCGUGAAAAACAACCGGCGGGAAAAAACAAAACAAACAGAGCCGCCACCGUGCGUUAUUUAUCCCAAAGGAGGGAAAGGAAACGCUCGAAGUAAACCUGGAAAGGAAAUGGUCUUACGACCGGAGAUGCAAGGAUCGGGAGUCGGUUACGCAAGGGGAAGGUAUUAGCACCCCUCACGUCCGUCGUACUCGACGGGAUCCACGCUCAAAAGAAUAGAAUAAGGUUGCUAAAUAACUGCUCAAAACAUGCACACACACUGGAAUAAGCACACAGGUGAAGGAAGACGGAGGAAGGUGACUCGGCAGGAUGUCGCAUCCUGGGCCUACGUAGUUUGUCAAAAACAAACAUCAGAGUCGACGUAGUUCGGGGAAAUGGGGAACGUGCUCGCUAGGACAUCGCAUCCUAUGCAUACGUAUCUUCUCUGACCAGAGAGGAAUCAGAGCACUCGUAGCUCGGCUAACGCACGCCAAACAAAACACAAACAGGAAACCGACUGCCAAUCGCAGGACUUACGUCAGACUCCACACAAACAGGCAAACAUGGAAACCGAAUGCCAAUCGCUGGACUUACAUCAGACUCCGAACCAACAAAACACAAACAGGAAACCAGCUGCCAAUCGCUGGGCCUACGUCAGACUCCAAACAAAGAAGCAAACACAGGAAACCAAUUGCCAAUCGCUGGACUUAUGUCGGACUCCACACCCACACACAAGAGGUUACCAAACAGACAAGCUAAUAGGGAGUCUGGAACUCGAGCCUAAUAGCCGUCAAACAAACACACACCAAAAGAAAAAAGGUGCCCGGAGAGAUCUUGCACGAUCUCCUGCCUACGUACCUCAUCUGGUAUGAGGAUCAGGGCAACAUAGUUCCCCUUAACAGGGGAGAAACUUUCUAACCUAACCAGAGACCUGGGAGUAACAAACUAAAAGGGAGACUGACUCGAGCCUAAUAGUUGUCAUGCAAUCCACAAUAGUCCUAGGUUGAGGUAUCUAAACAGAUCCUAACUCGCACAGGCAGCAAGUUGAAACAGCAGAUAAACAGAACAAGCAUUCACAAGAGAGCAAGCACACCACACUAUAUGCAAACAAGUAGCUCAUACAAGGCUUGGCUGUAAAAAACAAGCCAACUGGAAUUGGGUGUUUUUAGCUCUUAACCCUAACAUUGAGAGUUAGGGUGAAGCAGAUGAAAUGGAGAUGAGGGUUAUGCCUCAUAGCUCUUAUCCCUGGCCUGGGAGAGCUUCAAUCAAAUAGAAAGUGUGGGAGUUCAGAAUGCAAGAACUCUUCUCCACAUGACUGACACAACAAGAUCUUGGGUUCUUAUUCACAAUGCAUCAACACAUGGUGUGAGCAAAGUGAAUGACACAACUGAAUAGCAGGGAUGGAUUGCACAUCCUUUUAUCUGCCAAUUGCCUCUUAAGAGGUCUUUACCUGCUUGGACAAAAUUAAACAAACACAAGCAUUGCCUCUUAAGGAGGCUUCAGACAGGUGCCUGCCAGAAUAACAUGACAGGUCUUCCAGAUUACAUGAAGAUCAAGGAAUUAUACCUCAGUGGUAUGUCAACCACAAGCAAGCAAAACAAAGUUCAAAUGAACUUAAAGCAACUUAGGUACCUGUGGAAACAACUAAAACCAAUCAGUACAAAAUCCAGACAAUAGUCAACAGUCAAUAUCCAACAGACAACCCAAUAUGCAACACAUGAGCCAUAAACACAAGUGAAUUGUUCUCAAAGCCUACAAAACAAGCAAAUGUUAGCCAACAACAACAAAUGAUCAAGCUCAAAUGAAGGAGCAACAUCAAUCAUGGAGAUGCAUACUUGAACCUGAAAUCAUAACUCAAAUGUAAGUAACAAACCACUAGGUCAAAGCCUAGGGUCCAAAGUGAAGAAAAAAUCCAAAACGAACUUGAUAUUCAACAUGGAUCAUAUUUAAUACUCAAGAACAAGUCUAAAAAGGACCAAAACCAAAAUCAACAUGCAAGUUCAUGUAAUAGGCAAGAGAACUCAAUGACCAAUUCAGGACACAUUUGAUCAUUAUGAAUGAAAAUUCCCAAUCAAAACAUAAAUGAUUCGAAUAAUUCUAGAAAAAUUCAUGAACAUUCAACACAUCUAAACAUGAUCAUCACACAAAAAACAGAGAAAGCAAUUAAGAGGUCAUUUGGCAUGGGAAUCAAAUUGCACAAGUUGAUCAUCAAAUUGUGUGACACAAAUUGUCACACCAUGCAAACACAAGCAUAAAACAGAAUUGGUACAUGAGAAAAAUACCAAACCAAGCCUAAAACCUCCAUCAAUGUGUCUAGAAUCAGCGUGUAAAAUUUCAAGUCCAUUGGAUUAAAAACAAGCAUUUCAUGAUAGUUUGAACCAAUCAAGGUCAUACAUGCACACAUGAUCAAUCAACCUAGAGAAAAUAAAAUUCCAGCCAUGCACAACUUCCAAAUUCAUGAUCAUAAAAAGCUAGACAUUCUAAGGAUCAUUUUGCAAAAAAUUGGGAGUGAUUUGGAGCAUUUUUCAAUUUAUUAUGAUUUUUUUAAGUUGGAUAAAAAAUUGAAAUCAAACAUGUGAAGCAUACAUGAAAUAUGGAGGGAAAAGUGAAAAUGAUGAACGAAUUUGAAAAAGUGGAGCACGCUGGAAUCGAACCAGGUACAAUUUCAAACGUGAGCGCGCCAGGCUGAAACGGUUAGUGACGGAAAAAAACGGACGCUAGGCUGGUAGUGACGGAUUUGCAUGAAGAUCUUCAUCUUCUUCAUGAAGAUGAAGAUGAAGAUGAAGAUGAAGAUGAUGAAUGUUCAUACGUAUUUUUCCAGAUUUUCCAGAAUUGCUCAGAAUUUUACAAAUUAUAUAUCGUUGGAAAGCUCUUUCAAUGUAAAAUUCAAAUAUCAUAUUAUCUAAGCCUAAAUCUCCAUGGAUUUUCUGAACCGAAGCAAAGAAGUUUCUAGAUCUAAACUUGAAAUCAUCAUAUCUCACUCAAUUUUCAUCCAAAUUCCACAAAUUUUAUAUCAGAAUUCUCACCACAACAAGAUCUACAAGAUUAUGUAUAUAAAACAGAGAAUUAAGAGGAUAAAAAAUGUGACCUCUUGAAGAACAGUUGGCGAAUUCUGCAGAUCCAAGGCCAAGCAAGCAUGCAAAUCCACUCCAAAUCACUUGUUAUGAAGUUUGAUGAUGAAAUUGAGGCUUGGAAACGUGUAGAUCUUGAUUAAAUCUCAAAUGCCAUGGUUAUGUUCUUGAGCUUCACAUGCACAAUUCUGGUCCAAACUUGAUGAUCCAAGGCUUGAUCUCUACUAUAUCAACACUAGAGAACUAGAAUAUGGAAGAAGAUUCAAGGUUUAUGUGAGAAAAAAUUGAAUUAAGAUUGAAAGAAAAUUUUGGAGGGAAAAAAUUCUUAGAUCUAGAAAUGGUGAAUUGUGAUUAACCUCCCCAAAUUCGGUUACAAUUAUCUCUAUAUACCAUGUCCUAAUCUCAUUUUAAUUAAAAUUAAUCAAAGUUAAUUAGAGAUUAAGCAAAAUAAGGGUGCAUGGCAAAAAUUGGAAAUUUGGUGGUGCAUGGCAAUUCCAAACGGGAACAGUACCAUAUGGGAGCUCAUUUUCACUCAAAAUCUUCCCAUGCACAUGUUAGCAAUGGUCAUUUGUUCCCAUGACGCACCAAUUUUGAAUUUUGCAAUUUCCCUCCAAAAAAGGUAUAGAUAUGCAAGUGAUUAUAUGAUGAGGUUUUAUGUAAUGUGAUGCAUGAUUUGGAAAUUAGAGGUCAAGAGAAGAAUAUUGCAAAAAGAACCACUCAAUUUGAAGCUUUGGAUCAAAAGUUAUGCUCAUUUGAAGUUCCAUGUAUACUUGGCAAUGAUUUGACCAUAUCUCUUCAACCAUUCAUCAUAAAUUCAUGAUCUUGGACUUUUUGGAAAUGGGAGAAAGAGAUCUUCAACUUUCAUGUUGGACAAAAUUUCAUUUGAAGCUUCUUUGAUGAUGCAAGAUUAUGGUGAAUUUGAACAAAAAACUUUCCAUUUUGGGAAACUUUCAAUUAUAGGUCACUUUCCAUUUUUGGAAACUUUUGAUCUGACCUCAAAUUCUUCAAGAUAUGCAUUUGACAUGAUUAAUAAGCCUCUUUUGAACAUGAAUGAGAUGUUAAAACUCAUUUCUCCACCUCCUAGCCCUCAGUUGACUUUCUGUUGACUUUCUAGGUUGACAGAUGACUUGAACAUGCAUAGAUGAUUUUGAGCCUCAAUCACCUGAUGAAAUGGCUCCAAAAUGAACCCCUAGCUCUAAUAAGCUCUUCAAAAUGAUCAUGUGAUCCACACCAUCACCAAAUACCUCAUCUCCUUAAAGAUCCCUGACUGGUAGAAUGGCAUUGAUAUGAACCCCUAGCUCUAAUAAGCUCUUCAAAAUGAUCAUGUGAUCCACACCAUCACCAAAUACCUCAUCUCCUUAAAGAUCCCUGACUGGUAGAAUGGCAUUGAUUAGGGUUGACCAGAGGUCAAAACUCUAAUCCCAAGGAACCUGAGCAUGAAUUCUGAAACCUUUGAGGAGGACGCAACCAUGAUGAUGAUGACAUAUCCUUGCCAAUAAGAUAAUGCUCAAACUCCUUGAAGGACCAAGAAACCCUAAUUGAAACACAAACCCUCAGAUGGCUAGUGAUAAAUUUAUGAGACCCCCAGGCUUGGAUCUCUUAACCUCUCUAUCUUCUGAGAAAGACUUUGGAGGAUGACUUGCUUGUUUUCACAUGAUAUGCAAUAUGCAAAUGCCUAAUGUCCUACAAAAUGAAAUGCAAUAUGCUAAGCUAGUCCCAAGAAGAGGAGGGCAAAUUUUGAGGUGUUACAAGAAGCUUUGCAAUUGAUUUCUCAGUGAUGACCAUCUUUACACCCAGAACAUAUGAGACGAUAUAGUGGUCAUCGCAGUCUGCGAAUCUCCAGAACUCCUUGAUGAGAAAAGUAUAAACGGGACCAUAAAGCCUCUGAAAGUAGGUUUCCCAUCCUUGUUUCUUUAGUUCUUCAGUGAGGUCGACUCCAUUUAACUUCAUAUUAUCAAAAAUCCACUAAAGACUCACACAAGACUUCUAGUUUAUCAAAAGGUGUUGCUAGAUUGAUGUGUGUUGGACGAUCAAGAACAUGAGGUUCCUUGUAGGAAGUGAUAGUCGUUGUAGUAGUUGUAGUAGAAGUUUGUUGAAGAGCGUUAGCAGGUUAUUCAGUAGCUUUCAUCUGUUGUGAGUAGUUGUACACUUGUUGUUGUUGGGAGCCCAUUUGAAGAAGAAAAUGUUUGAAUGUUGAAGAAGAUGAUGAACAAAUGAAGAACCUUGGAGAGAGUUUAGGUAACAUGGUUUUUGUGUGGGGUUGUGAGUGAAAUGAGAGUGGGAGUUGUGAAAAAAAAAUAUACGCAAGGGUUAACAUGCAAAACGACAUCAUUAAAUGAGAAUAGUAAACAGUAAAAAUUAAUGUGCACAGAAAUUUGAGUUGACACGCAAGGGAAAAUUAAUUUCAGCUAAUGAUGGAUGUUUAAUCCCAAAAAUAUGCAUACUGCUCGAGGAGAUCUCAAUAGUCUGGCUCUUGAGUUCUGUGCUAAACAGUUGUUUAGAAGAUCCAAGGUCAGAUGCAAGAGAGGCCACGUGUUGAUGUAUCUGACCUCAAGAAAACCAAGAUAUUUUAUCCUGAGGAUUUCUGAUUUAGAUUACAUCUAACUGGUAGAGGUAUCAGAAUCAAACCCAGAUGCCAGAUAGUUUUUAAGUUAGAGCCUAUUUUGACACUUCAGAGAAGGAGCACAUAUUUUAGACUCAUUUUGGGCAAUCUACCAUGUUUAAAUGUUUCAGAAUGAAUGAGAAUCUAUCUUCAGCUAAGGGUUUUAUGAAGAUAUCAACCCAUUGGUGGUCUGUAUCAAUGAAUUUUAAAGUUAUUACCCCUUUAUGAACAUAGUCUCUGAUAAAAUGAUGUUUAAUUUCUAUGUGCUUUGCUCUGGAGUGCAGAAUAGGAUUCUUACUUAAACAUAUGGCAGUGGUGUUAUCACAAAAAAUAGGAAUGUUAGUCUCGUAUAUAUGAAGUUCCUCUAGUUAAUUCUUCAUCCAGAGCAUCUGAGUAGUGCAUAGUGAAGCUGAAAUGUAUUCUGCUUCUGCAGUAGAGAGUGCUAUGGUUGAUUGUCUUUUGCUAGCCCAUGAAAUGAGGUUUCCUCCCAGAAAUUGACAGUUUCCAGAUGUACUUUUUCGUUCCAAUCUGUCUCCAGCGUAAUCUGCAUCAUAAUAUCCAGAAAGCCUGUACUUUGAUGUUUUCCAUACAUCAAGCCAAGGUUAGGUGUUCCUUUUAGAUACCUUAGGAUUCUCUUAACAACUGUUAAGUGAGAUUCCCUUGGGUCUGACUGGAAUCUGGAACAAAGACAAAUGUUGAAUAGGAUAUAUGGGCGAGUAGCAGUCAUAUAGAGAAGAGAACCUAUCAUACCACGAUAGAGUUUUUUACAGACCUUUUGACUUACCUCUUCUUUCUCCAAAAUGCAUGUAGGGUGCAUGAGAGUCUUUGAUGGUUUGCUAACUGACAUUUUAAACUUCUUUAGGAUGUCUUUUAUGUAUUUGCUUUGAUAAAUAUAUGUUACAUCUGAGUUUUAUUGAUUUGUAUUCCCAGAAAGAACUUUAGUUCUUGCAUCAGACUCAUUUCAAAUUCAGCUUGCAUUAGCUCAGAAAAUUCUUGACAGACAGAGGGAUUAGUAUAACCAAAGAUUAUGUCAUCAACAUAUAUUUGACAGAUCAUGAGGUCAUUUCUGAUGUUUUUACAAAAGAGUGUAGAAUCAACUUUGCCUUUGAUAAAAUCAUUUUUCAGAAGAAAUGCACUUAGUCUUUCAUACCAAGAUCUAGGAGCUUGUUUUAGACCAUACAGAGAUUUUUUCAGUUUAAAAAUAUGUUCUGGACAUUUUGAGUUUUCAAAACCAGGAGGCUGAUGAACAUACACUUCUUCAGAGAUAUAUCCAUUCAGAAAUGCACUCUUGACAUCCAUCUGAUAUAGUUUGAUGGAAUAAUUUACAAUAAAAGAUAUAAGUAAGCAAAUAGAUUUUAACCUGGCGACUAGUGCAAAGGUUUCGUUGUAGUCAAUACCUUCUUGUUGACUAUAACCUUGUGCUACCAGUCAUGCUUUGUUUCUGACCACUUCACCCUUUUCAUUUAGUUUAUUUCUGUACACCCAUUUGGUUCCAAUUACAUAGGUUCCCUUGGGUUUUGGUACAAGAUCCCAGACAUUGUUCUUUGCAAAUUGAUCAAGUUCUUCUUUCAUUUCCAGAAUCCGUUCUUUGUCUUGAAGUGCUUCUUCACAGGAUGUUGGCUCUAUCAGAGAUACUAGUCCCAGAAGUGUUUCUUCAAAUCCCUUGAAUGUUGAUCUUGUUCUGACAGAUUCGUCUUUAUUUCCCAAAAUCAAAUUUUCAGAUACAUUUUGUCUAGUUCUUGAUCUUUUCUAGAUUAAAGUGGCUUCAGGAGAUUCUACAGUUCUCUUUUCCGCUUCUUCGGAUUCUAUAGCCUUUUCCUUAGAGCCUGCGAGGGUUAUCUCUAAAUCUGCAAAACUAUCACUUAGCUUUGACUUUUCAUGGUCAAGUUUGUCAUCAAAUCUGACAUGUAUUGAUUCUUCCACAAUUAAUGUUUCUGUAUUGUAUACUCUGUAACCUUUAGAGCAUUGAGUAUCCUAACAUAAUACAUUUCUGUGCUUUAGAAUCAAACUUGUUCAGAUAAUCUUUAGUAUUUAGGAUAAAGCAAGAACAUCCAAAUGGAUGAAAAUAAGAGAUGUUGGGUUUUCUUCCCUUACACAGUUCAUAAGGAGUCUUCUCCAAAAUAGGUCUAACAUAUAUUCUAUUAUGAAUAUAACACGGUGUAUUCACUACUUCAGCCCAAAAGUGCUUAGCGACAUUUGUUUCAUUCAUCAUGGUUCUGGCCAUUUCUUGAAGGGUCAUAUUCUUCCUUUCUACAACUCCAUUUUGUUGUGGAGUUCUAGGACAGGAGAAAUCAUGGGAUAUCCCAUUAGAAUCAAAUAGUUCUUUAAAAACUUUGUUAUCAAAUUCCCCACCAUGAUCACUUCUGACUCUAAUGAUUUUAGAGUUAAAUUCAUUUUGCACUUUUGAGCAGAAACUAGUAAACACAGAGUGUGACUCAUUCUUGUGUUUAAGGAACCUUACCCAUGUCCAACGACUAUAAUCAUCAACAAUGAUCAGUCCAUACUUCUUACCAUUAACUGAGGUUGUUUUAACAGGUCCAAACAUGUCAAUGUGAAGAAGUUCCAGUGGUUUAGAGGUAGAGACAACAUUUUUAUUUUUGAAUUUCGUUUUAGAAAAUCUUCCCUUUUGGCAUGCUUCACAGAGAGCAUCUGAAGAAAACUUCAAUUUAGGUAGGCCUCUGACUAGCUCAAGUUUAUUUAGCUGAGAAAUCCUCCUCAUGCUAAUAUGGCCCAAGCGUCUGUGCCAUACCCAUUGCUCUUCGUUUCCAGACAUUAAACAUUUUACAUUUUGAUCUUUCAAAUCUAAAAGUUUAAUUUUGUAAAUGUUAUUCUUCCUCUUACCAGUGAAAAGAAUUGUGCCAUUUUUCUGAUUAAUAGCCUUGCACAUUUUUUGAUUGAAGAUUAUAUCAUAAUCGUUAUCACUUAAUUAACCUAUGGAUAACAGGUUAUGCAUUAAUCCUUAUACGUAAAGAACAUCAUAAAUAGAGGGAAGAGAUCCAUUACCAACCAUUCCGGAACCUCUGAUUCUUCCUUUCUGAUUUCCUCCAAAUCCUACAAAGCCAACAUCUUUAAGUUCCAGGCUUUGGAACAUAUGCUUUCUUCCCGUCAUGUGUCGCGGGCAUCCAGAGUCCAGGUACCAUGAUUGGUGUUUUAACACUGCUGCACAGGAUGCCUGCGACAUAUACUAUCUUAUCUUUUGUUACCCAUAAUCUUUUGGGUCCUUUAUGAUUAGUUCUCCUAGAGUUUCUGGAAACUUUGGGUUUUCUAGCAUUGUUAAAACCCUGUGUCUGUACGUGUGUGUAAUGAUAUGAAAAAGGAGAUUUUGGCUUAUCCUCUACAUAAGGUAUUUUUUCAUCUUCAUCAGAGUCAUAUCUAAUUCCACUUUUCUUAUUGUGACUAACACCAUAAAUCAUAGAAUCCAUUUUGCUUCUUUCAAGCCCAUUUUUCAGAAAUUUCUGAAACGCCUUUUCAUAUUUGUAUAUGAUGGUAUCAGAAGUUGGUGGAGCCUUGGAUAUAGUUUCUUCAAGUUUUAAACAAUUUUUGGUUGAAAAUUCAUUUUCUUUUUCUAAAACAAAAAUGUUUCCUUUUAGUUCAGAAACUUCUAUCUCAAGUUUAUCACAUUCUUCAACAGUUUCUUCAUGGACCCUUUUUAGGACCUUGAAUUUCUAUCGAAGCUUAUGAUAGGAGCUUAGAGAUUCUGACAGGCAAGCUUCUAGAUCAGAAAACACCACUUCGGGGUCAGAUUCCUUUUCAGAUGUACUUCUAGAUGAGGUAGCCAUGAAUGCAACACUUGCAUGUUCUAGUGCAGAGUCUGAUCCUGAGACGUUAGAUUCAGAGUCAUCCUAGGUAGUCAUGAGUCCCUUCUUAGUUUUGAAGGAGUUCUUCUUGAAUCCUUCUUUUCUGGAACUGUCUUUCUUGAGCUUGGGACAUUCGUUUCUGUAGUGUUCUGGUUGGUUACCUCUUUACUUGGUCUGUUUCUAGAGGUAGAUUAUGAGCGAUCUCCCUUUGUCAUAACCCAAUUUUGUCCGGGCAUUUUAAAUUUUUAUAAAUUCGAUUUAAUUUUCAGUUUACAUCAUAUGUAUAGCAUAACAUGCAUUUUAUCAUUAAUAAUACCUAAAAUAUCAGUCAGGAUAAAUUUAUUGAAAAUACAGACAAAUCAGUUGAAUCGUUCCUCAAGUACGGACAAAAUCAGCGGCUAAAAAGUUUCGAAAUUAAAAUUACAGACGCCAGUAUUAUUAAUCUACGGUUCAUGUAGUUUAACCUGGUGUUCUCGUUGUAUUUUUUAGCGGCUGUUUCAAUUGCGUUUUGACUCGCCUGAGCCCUUUUAACCGGUGAAAAUUUAUUUUAAAAUUUAAAGAAACACUAUAUUUUUUCAAUAAGUAUAUUUUAUGCUGAUCAUUUUAGUGCAUCCGAUUUAAUUUUUCGAGCAAAUUUUCGCCCGAGAUUUAUUCAGUUUUAGCCGUUUUUAAUUUUGUUCUUUCGCCGAAAUAGUCAGAUUAAAUAAAUAGAAUUUCCCAUGUUAUCAUUUUAAUUUUAUCAUGAUUAUUUUGAAAGUUGUGAAUUUUAUUUGAUUCAAUUGAUUGAAAUUAAUUAAGUCAUCUAAAAACAACAUUAUAGGCAUUUUAAUUUAUUUAAAUAGUAUGUGCUUCUUGGUGUGUUUCUUUGAUUUGAUCCAGGUCAUCAAAUUUGAUUCAAUUGAUUGAAAUUAAUUAAGUCAUCUAAAAACAACAUUAUAGGCAUUUUAAUUUAUUUAAAUAGUAUGUGCUUCUUGGUGUGUUUCUUUGAUUUGAUCCAGGUCAUCAAUUCAAAUUAAUCAAUGCUCCUCAUUAGCAAUCCGUGUCCAUUUCUAUCAUCCAAUCAAAAAAUAGCAUUUAAAUUAAUUGCAUAAUUAGUAAAGAAAAUAGAAAAUAUCUCUUCUUCUUUUGGACACGCCAACAGUCAAAGAGGAGAGAAAGAAAAACUCUCUCACACUCCAACGUCUCUCUCUGAGCCAAAAAGGACAAAAAAGAAAAAUAAUAAAAACUCUAACUGACAAAACACAAAAGGCAUCCGUCUCCCACCUCACUAAUGGGAUCUCUCGCCCAAUAAAACAAAAAAAGGAGAAACAAAAAACCUCUCUGAACAUUUUCUUCUCCAACUACCUCCACCACUGUUCCUUUUCUUCAAAACGCAAUAAGCUUCCUUUUCCAUCGACACCUACCGCCACACCAAGAUCUUCUUGGUCCACACCACCACCAUAUCAAUACUCUCUCAGAAAUAGCAAAUCAAAAAAAGAAAAAAAAAACAUUUUCUCUUUGUCACAGUGAACAUCGCCACCUCACCUCCAUAGAUCUUCCAUCUACUUCAAGAAACAAACCUCCGUCGGCGAGACCAACACCCUCCGCCUACAUCCCUCGCCUCUUUAUCUCAUCCUUCAACCUUUCAUAACUAAAAAUAACCGAGAUAUGCUAUUCCCUCAUCUCACCUGUUUUCGCUCCACCAUACAUAGCGUUAUCACCACCUUCCGUUUCACAACAACCGCCGCAACUUUUUAUGUCGGUAGAAACACACGACUUUGACACUACUGUUUCAGCAUCAUAACAAUAGAUCAACAAACAUCUCCAGUUCAGCAGCAUGGCGACUUCGAAGUAGCAGCUCAACAACAACACGGUAACAGUCCACGCGCAGCCUUGCACAAAUCGUUAGGUUUGUUCAUCAUUGUUUCCAACAGCAAUAACAUGGUCGACGUCGCAUUACGCAAUGCAUACAUGUUGCUGCUAUUGGAUUUUAAAAAUAUAGAAAGUGAUAUUUUCUAAAUAAUACAUGUUACUGCUGCGAUUUCGUGUUUGAAUUCGGUGUAUAGAUGGUCGACGUCGCAUUAUGGUAAACGUUUUGGUUUGGAAUCUUUGUUUUACAUGGUGUAUGUUUUAAUUUUGUGGUACUGAAUUUGUUGCUUUAAACACUGUAGCAAUGCAUACAUGUUGUUGCUAUUGGAUUUUAAAUGUAUAGAAAGUGAUCUUUUUUUAAAUCAUACAUGUUGCUGCUGUUGGAUUUUUAAGUGUAUAGAAAGUGAUCCUUUUAUAAAUGCAUACAUGCUGCUGUUGUUCAAUAUUAAAAGUAUAGAAGUUAUUCUUUUCUAAAUAUAUUUAAAUCAUAUAAUAUAGAAUUUUAAAAUAUAGAAUUUUUUUCUUUUCUUGCUUGUUGUUAUAAAGUAUAUAAUUUUUUUAUUUUUAAUGCAUUCAAGUUAUAAAGUAUGGAAAUAUAUAUAUUUUUAAAUACAUGCAAAGUUAUAAAGUAUAGAAUUUGAAAGUAUAGAAAUUUGUUUUUCUAAAUACAGUCAAGUUAUUCCAAGGUGCAUAAGUACUCCAAGGUUUCACAAUUUUUUUUCUUAUGCAGACAAGUUUUUAUAUAUGUUGCUAUUGAUAAAGUAUCAUAGGUUGUUUGUGUUACGAUUAAUUCUUUCAUUCAACCAUUUUGUAUUUAUUUUGUUGUUUAUUUCAUUUUUUAUGUUUUAAUUAAAUUAAUUAAAGUUUUGUCUAAUUAGAUAAUUUUGAUUAAUUAAUUUUAAUUUAUUUGAUUAUUUGAUUUAAAGUAUUUAUUUUGUUGUUUAUUUCAUUUUUUAUGUUUUAAUUAAAUUAAUUAAAGUUUUGUCUAAUUAGAUAAUUUUGAUUAAUUAAUUUUAAUUUAUUUGAUUAUUUGAUUUAAUUAAAUAAUUUCUAAGAAUUAAUCUUAAUUAACUUGUUUAAUCGAUUUAACCAAAUUUUUAUUAAUUAAUUUCCUUAAUUAGAUAAGCAUCGAUUUACUUCACUAUCAGUUUCACAAAUCAUUUGCAAAUCAUCAAUUCGAUUUCAUUCAGAAUCAAUCUCAUUUCGAGACCAUUUUCAUAAUUCAAUUCAUAUGCACAUGUAAAUACAAACCUCGGUCAAUAUCGAGUGCGCCUUUUCCAAAUCAACUCAAACACUUAAUCACAAUCAAAUACUGUUUUAUUUGGAAAUAAAAAGGGAGAUGGCUUUGAGUUUUCAAUUCCUCUCCUCGAUUAUUUGAAUAUGAGUUCUCUUACUCGGUUAGUCAAAUGGUCGUCACUUCUAUUAACCUAAGCACAAACAAAUCAAAUCAUUUUAUAAUAAGAAACGAAAAGGGAGAUGACUUUGAGUCUUCAAUUUCUCUCCUCGAUUAUUGGAAUACAAGUUCUCUUACUUGGUUAGCCAAAUGAUUGUCGUUCUUCCACAAACUUCCAAGCCCUGAUUAAACCAAAACACUUUCAUAAUAAGGUAAAUGAAAAGGGAGAUGACUUUGAGUUUUCAACUUCUCUGCUCAAUUGUUUGAAUACGAGUUCUAUUACUCGGUCAGUCGAACAAUUGUCAUUUUUUCGCCAACUUAUACCGUAAGUCAAAUCAUUAUCAAACUAUACAAAAAGAGAGAUGGUCUUGGGUUUUCAAUUCCUCUUCUUAAAUGCUUGGAUAUGAGUUGUCUUACUCAGCCAUUCAAGUACUUGUCGUUCAUUUUAAAAUACGUUAACCAUAUACAACCUUAUUUUCAUAAAUACUCAGAUGAAACAGAAAGUGGUCUAAAGUCUUCUAUUCCUUUUCCCGACUAUUAGGAUACGAGUUGUCUUACUCGAUUAUCCGAGUAUUCGUCAUUCAUUCGAGACACCUCUAUUAUUAUCAAAUCCUUUCUAUAAUUAAGGAUGAAGAAGAAAGUGGUCUAGAGUCUUCUAUUCCCUUUUCCGACUGUUAGGAUACGAGUUGUCUUACUCGUCUAUUCGAGUAAUCGUCAUCCAACCAAAAGUAUCUUAACCUAUCAAGUUUAUCCUUUCUCGCCCUCGUGCGAUCGAAACCAAUCCAACAAAACACCCAAUACCUUAAUUCAACUUGUCACCCUCGUGUGGUCAAAACUCUUUUCAGAAAGAACAUUGUUUAAUCUCUUCUAACGCGACGACAAACUAGCGCUUAAGCCUCCGCCGAGAGUAGACAAGCCAACGUUUAGCCUUUAAGAUGCGAUCUAAAUAGUUGUUCAUUAAAAAACACCAACCAACCGUAGUCUCCCGAACUACGAAUUCUUUGACUUCCUUAUUACACCAUAUGGAUACGUAGGCAGGAGAUUGUUGUAUCUUCGCGAGCAAACUAAUAAAAAACCUCCCCUUUCCCUUUCUGAGGUUCUCAUCCAUUUCAAUUUCUAAUAUUUUAUAACCCAAAGAUAACAAACAAACAUAAAUUAACACUCGAAUCGCAAAAUUGAACUAAAAGGUUCCCGUUGAGUACAACGGACGUGAGGGGUGCUAAUACCUUCCCCAUGCGUAAUCAACUCCCGAACCCGAAUAUGGUUGCGACGACCAUUAUUAUAUUUUUAAAAGGUUUUAUCGAUAUUUUUCUAUUCCUUCAUUGGGAUAAAUAAAGUUCGGUGGCGACUCUGUUCGAACGUAAUUUUUUCUGCGACCAUCGUGAGGAAUCGUAUUUUUCGAGAUGCGACACCCUUCUGUAUGGGUCUCCUGAAGUUAUUGUUCCUUUUUCUCCAGAGUAGUUCGACUCUUCUUGAUGAAAGAGACAAUUCUUCUUCAUCAUCAGAGUCGUCUUUCUCAGAAUCAUCAUCUUCUUCUUCUUCAGCUUGAAGAGCUCUGUUUCUUUCUGGCUUACGUCUUUCAGGUCUAGACUUCAGAGCCACUAAUUUGCUUUUCUUUUGAGGUUCGUCUUCCUCUAAUUCUAUCUCAUGACUCCUGAGGGAACUCAUGAGUUCUUCCAGGCUUAUAUUGUUCAGAUCCUUUGAUAGUUUUAAGGCAGUGACCAUUGGUCUUCACUCUGAUGAUCUUUUUAACAUUAUCUGCAGUUGUGUAGCCUUUAUUCAGAACCUUGAGCCUGCAAUUAAAGUUUGAAAUCUAGAAAACAUUACCUCUACAGCUGCAUCAUCCUCCAUUCUGAAGGCUUCAUAUUUUUGGAUUAAGGCCAGAGCCUUAGUCUCCUUGACUUUAUUGUUGCCUUCGUGGGUCAUCUUUAGGGAGUCAAAUAUUUCUUUAGUUGUAUCCCUAUUUGUGAUCUUUUCAUAUUCAUUAUAGGAUAUGGAGUUCGGCAGAAUCAUUAUGGCUUUAUGAUGAUUUUUGAAGUCUCGCUUUUGAUCAUCACUCAUUUUGUUCCUAGCAAUGACAACUCUAGGAGCAGAAACAGGUAGUUCAUAACCAUUUGUAACCAUGUCCCAUAAGUCAGCGUCAUAGCCUAGGAAGAAACUUUUGAUUCUAUCCUUCCAAUACUCAAUUUUUUCUCCAUCAAAGACUGGAGGUUUGGCGUUGUAGCUGUCUCUUUCACUGGUGGUAGUCAUGAAGUUUUUCUCGCGCUGGAUCUCUCCACACUGUUAAGUGUUUGAUUUGAAAAUCAAUAACAGAGUCGAAGCUCUGAUACCAAUUGAAGGUAGAGAAAAACAAAAAAGGAGGGGGUUUGAAUUGUUUUCCCAGACAAUAAAUUUUUUGCAAACAACACAAAAGUUUAUCCUGAUUCGCUUGAAAUUUAAAGCUACUCCAGUCCAUCCGACCAAGGUAAUUUCACCUUCAAAAAGGACUUAAUCCACUAAUCUUGAAAGAUUACAACAACGUCUAAGAGUCCAAAGAUCUCUUAGCCCUCCCAAGUUUACAGACUUCACAAGUCACUUGAGGAAAUAUUACAACAAAUAUUAAAGAAUUACAAAAGGUGUUUGCUUCUAGAUAAGUAGAAAGAACAUAGUAAGAACAAUUAGAUCUCACACUGAUGAGCAAAAACUCGUGUGAAAGAGUGAAGAAAUAAUUAGUGAGUAUUUGAAUUUGUGAUGAGCAGAAUUCUUGUUGAGUAUUUUUGUAUCAUGUUAUGAUGAAGGUUAGACCUUUAUAUAGUGCUUCGAGAUGAUAUUGUUGGAUGAUACAUUGAUGCUGAUAUCUUUGCCAAUGAUGAAACUUAAUUUCCAUUAAGUUUGUUGUCCUUUCCAUAGCAGUUUAGGAGAGUACUUAAUUUUCUCCAUAUAUAUAUAUAUAUAUACCGGUAUUUGGAAUACUUCGUUGUUAAGUCUUGAUUUGUUCUGAUAGGCGAGAAUCAGAGUGCGCGGAGUUCAGAUACUUUACUCAAAUCUCGUACUCUUUAGAUGGUUGCCUGAUGUGUUUAUUAGAAGCUCUUAAGUUAUCUUAGACUUUAUGUUCCUCAGAUGUAGUGAGCCUUAGAGACUUCAGAGGAGAGAUCUUUCAGAUAUAGAAGGUCAGAGCCUUGAGUCAUCAGAGCGACGUAUUCAGCUGUAAGUUCAGCUGUUAUGGAUUUUCUUAACGCUUAUACUAUGUUUCUUCAGAUGCAUUGAUUGUUAAAGCCCUGCACACUUAGAGAAUUUUGUUAGGGUACCAAAAUGUUUCAUCCUUUAUUAUCAUCAAAACUUAAGGAUUAAUUGUAGAAUCAAAAUCUUGUUCUAACAAACUUCACUCUUGUUAAGCUUAUUACCUAGAUACUUUAAGAAUUUAAAAAGGUAAUUAAUCAUGAUAAGGAAGACACUAUCAACUUGGAGGAGUUAUAAUCGUCUAUAAUAACCAAAGGUUUAAACAACAUGAAAGAGUUGAAUAUUUAUGAUAGUGGAUAUAACUUGAAUGUUUCAAGAUGGGGGAGUAAGAGUAGGAAAAACCAAAAUGGAAAAAAAUCUUGUUGUAAGUCCAAGUACAAAGGGUUUUACAAGUCGAAGUAUAAGUAAUUCAAUUAUUAUAAAAAUAAACACUUCAAUAAGGAUGUUCUGAGAGGGAAAGGAAGAGUAAUUAUGUUCAGAUUGUGGUUGCAUAGAUGCUCUUAUCACAUGUGUUCAAAGAAUGAAAAUUUUGAGAUUUCGGAGCUAAAAAAGAUGAAGUUAUUCAACUUAUAAUUGCAAGUCUUGAAAAAUUCAUGGUAGACAAUUCAACUCAAGAUGUUCGACAACCAUAUGUUUCAUUUAUGCAACAUGAGAUAUGUUCCAAAACUUAAGUGAAAUUUAUUUUCUAAAAGAAUGUUUGUUAACUUAUGCUAAUGAACUAGAACUUCACUUGGCAUGUAGAAAAUUUUGCAUGGUGCAGUGAUAAUUGUAAAGGGACUAAAAUAUUUGGUUUAUAUGUUUUCAUUGGUUUUAUUGUUAUUGACAAUACAUCAUUAUCUAGUCAAAGUUUUCAUGAUAAAAUUAAACUAUGGCCUUUGAAAUUAGAGCAGGUUAGUGAAAGAUGUUUUGUUGAACUAUCUAAGCAGUUUUUUCUAGGAAAUGAUAAAUUUAAAAAAUAGAAUUUUGUGUUUGUUGUGUACUAGGAAAGCAACAUAGAAUGAAGUUUGAGAGCUAUAUGGGUAAUUCUAGUAGACUGUUUGAGUAUGUUCUCUCAAAUCUUUAGGGUUUGACAAGGGUAGAAACUCAUGAGGGUGGUUUAUAUUUUCUCAAUAUGUUUGAUGAUUUUUUUAAUAUAAGAGUAUUGGUUCACAUUUUUAAAUAUAAGUGACACCUUUAAAAAAAAUUUAGGAUUGACACACUCUUAUAGGAAAUAAAUUGGGAACUAAACUAAAAGUCUUAAUAACUGACAAUGUCGUAUAGUCUACUUCAAAAAAAAAGUUAAUGAGUCUUUGAAGGAAAUAAUAUAAAGAGCAUAGAUUAAUAUAGGACACACAUCAACAAAAUGACCUAGAUGAACACAUGAAUAUGAACAUUUUAGAGUGGGAAGGUUGAUGUUGUUAGGAGUUCAGUUAUCCAAGAGUUUCUAUGGUGAACUUGUUUCCAUUACAACUUUCCAUAAAUGUUUAUCCAUAUGAAUAGACUUCAAGACACUAUAGAAGGUUUGUAGCGGGAAACUGAUAGACUUACUCUAGUUUUAAUGUUUUUUAGAGCUUUGGAAUUUUUGCAUAUCAACUAAGACAAGUUUGAGCUAAAGUUGUGAAAUGUGUAUUUAUUGGUUAUCUUUAAUGUUUGAAGGGAUACAAAUUGUGGAAGAUGGAUGGAAAAACUCAUAAAGUGAGACAAAGAAGACUCAAUUUGAGGUUGAGAUUUGUACUAGUAAGACUAGAUAUAAGGAGGAUGUUGAGUCUAUCGCUUAUAAUUAUAAAGAAGGGAAACCUACAUUCGCUCCAAACUAUGAGUUGACUUGUGAUAGGAUAAAUAGUGAGAUUGUACCGCCUCAAAUAUAUGUAUAUGGUGAUCUUAUUUAUUAUGCUUUAAAUGUGGAUGAAGGAUUGUAAGACUCAUAACCAAAGACCUUCAGGGAUGAAUUUGAAAGCAUAGAGAGUCAUAAAUUCUUGAAGGUAGUGAAUGGAUACAUUAACUCAUUAGAUAAGAACCUUAAUUAGAAACUUACGAGACUACUUGAGAGACAAAGAGUUGUUGAAUGCAAGUGGAUCUUCAAGAAUAAGAAAUGUAUUUUGGGGAUUGAAUAACUAAGGCAUAAAUUAAUACUUGUAGUAAAGGGUUUUACUCAAGUGGAGGGAAUUGAUUGCAAUGAAAUUUUUUCAUAUGUGAUAAAGCAUUUUUCUGUAAGGGUACUCAUGACUAUAAUGAAUCAAUAUAAUCGUAAGUUGGAACAAAUAUAUGUCAAUAUCGCUCUCUUACAUGGAGACCUUGAAAAGAUAACCUACAUAGAAAAAUCUCAAUCUGUUGUACAACAUAAGGAUAAAAUAUGUCUUAUGGAGAAAUAUUUGUAUGAUUUGAAGAAAAACCUAAGGAAGUGGUAUCGUUGAUUCAAAGAAGUUCCCUUAUACAUGGUUUUGUGAGAACUGGUUAUAAUAGUUGUGUAUACAUAAUAAAGAGGAACGAGGAAGUCAUUCUCUAUCUACUUUUAUAUGUUGAUGAUAUGUUGAUGGUAAGAUCUAGCAAGAAAGAGAUCACUAAGUUCAAAGAAAAUUUGAAAUGAAAGAUCUUAUUGAAUCUAAUAGGGAUGAAUAUAUUGCGGGGAAAAGUGAUAUGUUAUUAUCUCAAUCUUGUUACUUGAAGAAAAUGGUGAAAUUGUUUAUAGUGUUUGAUGUUAAAACUGUUAACACUCUUUUGGAUCACAACACCAAGCAUUUAGUUAUGUGAUAUCCUAAAAUUGAAGAAGAGAAGAAGAUGAUUGAGACAUUACUCUCUAUGAAAGCAGAAUUGGAAGCAUCGGGUAUGGUAUGAUUAAUAAUAGGUCAUAUUUUAGUCCAUCUAUAAUAAAAAAUCUGAUUUGUUGAAUUAAUAAGUGUGAGUGCUUAAUUUAAAAUGUGAUUUGUUGAAUUAAAAAGUGUGAGUGCUUAAUUUGAAUUUUUAAACAAUGUACAGCUAUUUUGCCCAACCGUAACAGCAAUUAAGGUACUAAUCUACCUGUAACCCUAAAUUUAUUGAAAAAAGAGGACUUGAAACAUCAUAUAAUAAUAAUUUAUUUAUAAGACAAGAAAAUAAAAUAUUCACAAGUCAUAUGUAACACCUUGAAUCAUAAGAAAUGGUUUAUUAUAUGAUGAUGAAAGUUAACACACGCACGCGUAGAACAUUAAAAUUAUAAUAGUUAAUAUCAUAUAAUUGUAUAUAAGAAUAGAGAUUAAUUACUAUACACUGUCAGUCUAAAAAGUUUUACACCGUCAGUUAAUCACCAUCACCCGUUUGUAUUACUUUAUAGAUUUUUAAAAUAAAAGUCAAACUUUUUUUAACAUCCAACAUCUAUAAUUAAGUGAUGGUGUAAAAUCCUUUUACACUGACAGUGUAUUUCAAUUAAUCUCAUAAGAAUAGAGAUUAAUUACUAUACACUGUCAGUGUAAAAAGUUUUACACCGUCGGUUAAUCACCAUCACCCGUUUGUAUUACUUUAUAGAUUUUUAAAAUAAAAGUCAAACUUUUUUUAACAUCCAACGUCUAUAAUUAAGUGAUGGUGUAAAACCCUUUUACACUGACAGUGUAUUUCAAUUAAUCUCAUAAGAAUAGAGAUUAAUUAAUAUGGAAUAGUACAAUGCUGACUCGGCUAACACAACAAUGAAGCUGAAAACUGAAAUCAUAUUCUAUGGUUAUAAACUUUUCUUAUUUAAUAUUGACUUUCUUCUUUAUUCUUAACAAAAAUAUAUUUUUUUAAAUUUAAAAUAACUGAUAUAUUUAAAAAAUUUAAAAAUAUAUUCUUUACAAAAAUUAUAUUUAACUUAUCAAAAAAUUAAAUACUUUUCUUUAAAAUGUUAAUAAUAUUCUUAAAAAUAAUAAUAAUUAUGAGUUAGAUAUAUUAAUGAAAUACUUUUUCCGUUCCAUAAUAAAUAACUCAAUUAAUCAAUUUAUAUAGAUUAAAAAAAUUAGAAUAAAUAAAAGAGAGGUAAACUAUUUUUUAUCCAAGUAUUAAGAAAGAUGAAAGUAAUAUUAAUUAUAGGAUGAAAUUAUAAAAUAGUAUUAAUUUUAUGGUACAAAUUUAAAUAUUUAUUAAUUUAAUUUAAUUCUUAUUUUGUUUUAUAUGUUUUAAAUUAAUUGAUAAAUUUCAUCAUACUAUAUUAAGUUUUAUAUAAAAUUUGUUACUUAACAUAUAUUUAAAAUAUUAUUAUUAGUUAAAAAUAUAAUCUAUAAAUUUAAAUAUUUAAAAACCUAUUCGCAAAAAAACUCAUAUUAAAUUGGAUCAAUUCAAAACUUUACUCCAAAACAAAUCCAAACUAUAUCACAAAUACUCCUACAAGAAAAAAAAAAGAAAAAAAAANNNNNNNNNNNNNNNNNNNNNNNNNNNNNNNNNNNNNNNNNNNNNNNNNNNNNNNNNNNNNNNNNNNNNNNNNNNNNNNNNNNNNNNNNNNNNNNNNNNNNNNNNNNNNNNNNNNNNNNNNNNNNNNNNNNNNNNNNNNNNNNNNNNNNNNNNNNNNNNNNNNNNNNNNNNNNNNNNNNNNNNNNNNNNNNNNNNNNNNNNNNNNNNNNNNNNNNNNNNNNNNNNNNNNNNNNNNNNNNNNNNNNNNNNNNNNNNNNNNNNNNNNNNNNNNNNNNNNNNNNNNNNNNNNNNNNNNNNNNNNNNNNNNNNNNNNNNNNNNNNNNNNNNNNNNNNNNNNNNNNNNNNNNNNNNNNNNNNNNNNNNNNNNNNNNNNNNNNNNNNNNNNNNNNNNNNNNNNNNNNNNNNNNNNNNNNNNNNNNNNNNNNNNNNNNNNNNNNNNNNNNNNNNNNNNNNNNNNNNNNNNNNNNNNNNNNNNNNNNNNNNNNNNNNNNNNNNNNNNNNNNNNNNNNNNNNNNNNNNNNNNNNNNNNNNNNNNNNNNNNNNNNNNNNNNNNNNNNNNNNNNNNNNNNNNNNNNNNNNNNNNNNNNNNNNNNNNNNNNNNNNNNNNNNNNNNNNNNNNNNNNNNNNNNNNNNNNNNNNNNNNNNNNNNNNNNNNNNNNNNNNNNNNNNNNNNNNNNNNNNNNNNNNNNNNNNNNNNNNNNNNNNNNNNNNNNNNNNNNNNNNNNNNNNNNNNNNNNNNNNNNNNNNNNNNNNNNNNNNNNNNNNNNNNNNNNNNNNNNNNNNNNNNNNNNNNNNNNNNNNNNNNNNNNNNNNNNNNNNNNNNNNNNNNNNNNNNNNNNNNNNNNNNNNNNNNNNNNNNNNNNNNNNNNNNNNNNNNNNNNNNNNNNNNNNNNNNNNNNNNNNNNNNNNNNNNNNNNNNNNNNNNNNNNNNNNNNNNNNNNNNNNNNNNNNNNNNNNNNNNNNNNNNNNNNNNNNNNNNNNNNNNNNNNNNNNNNNNNNNNNNNNNNNNNNNNNNNNNNNNNNNNNNNNNNNNNNNNNNNNNNNNNNNNNNNNNNNNNNNNNNNNNNNNNNNNNNNNNNNNNNNNNNNNNNNNNNNNNNNNNNNNNNNNNNNNNNNNNNNNNNNNNNNNNNNNNNNNNNNNNNNNNNNNNNNNNNNNNNNNNNNNNNNNNNNNNNNNNNNNNNNNNNNNNNNNNNNNNNNNNNNNNNNNNNNNNNNNNNNNNNNNNNNNNNNNNNNNNNNNNNNNNNNNNNNNNNNNNNNNNNNNNNNNNNNNNNNNNNNNNNNNNNNNNNNNNNNNNNNNNNNNNNNNNNNNNNNNNNNNNNNNNNNNNNNNNNNNNNNNNNNNNNNNNNNNNNNNNNNNNNNNNNNNNNNNNNNNNNNNNNNNNNNNNNNNNNNNNNNNNNNNNNNNNNNNNNNNNNNNNNNNNNNNNNNNNNNNNNNNNNNNNNNNNNNNNNNNNNNNNNNNNNNNNNNNNNNNNNNNNNNNNNNNNNNNNNNNNNNNNNNNNNNNNNNNNNNNNNNNNNNNNNNNNNNNNNNNNNNNNNNNNNNNNNNNNNNNNNNNNNNNNNNNNNNNNNNNNNNNNNNNNNNNNNNNNNNNNNNNNNNNNNNNNNNNNNNNNNNNNNNNNNNNNNNNNNNNNNNNNNNNNNNNNNNNNNNNNNNNNNNNNNNNNNNNNNNNNNNNNNNNNNNNNNNNNNNNNNNNNNNNNNNNNNNNNNNNNNNNNNNNNNNNNNNNNNNNNNNNNNNNNNNNNNNNNNNNNNNNNNNNNNNNNNNNNNNNNNNNNNNNNNNNNNNNNNNNNNNNNNNNNNNNNNNNNNNNNNNNNNNNNNNNNNNNNNNNNNNNNNNNNNNNNNNNNNNNNNNNNNNNNNNNNNNNNNNNNNNNNNNNNNNNNNNNNNNNNNNNNNNNNNNNNNNNNNNNNNNNNACCACAUAUCUAUUAUAUAUACUAUACUAUUACAUAUAAAUUAUUGAUUGUUAUAAAUCAAAAUAUUUAACUUUUUCAAAUUAUUAAUAAAAGAAAAGUAUUUUUUUUAAAUACACUAAACUCCUCUGAGAUAUAUUAAAAAGACACUAACAUUCCUUUUAAUUUUAAAAUGUGCACUAACUUCCUUAAAAUUAAAUAUACUAACAAAAUAUUUUAGUGUCAAACAAAUAAAACAUAAGUAAUUGUCAUAUAUAUUUAUAAUUUUUUGUUUUCACUAUAAAUGUCAAUACUAUUUUAAUAAACUUCAAAACUGGAGGUCUUAGAGGAUGUGAGAUAAACCAAUUUUGUUCCAACAUACUCAACCAUUGAAAGUCUUAGAGGGUAUAUUAUAAAGUUUUUAUCUAACCACUAUAUAAGAAUUAAGAGUUAGAAUCACAGAAAUGAUUAAAUCCUCAUAUCAAAAGAUACUAGUGUCUUUGUUGAGUUUCAGAAAGAAUAUAGAAAUGAGGAGAUCAUCAAGAAACUCAAGGAGUUGGUCCAACAACUCAAGGAAGAAGAAGAAAUAUCAACAUUCCUUAAACAUCACAUUUUCCUCAUCAUCGUCAUCAUGAGGAACACCAAAAGAUGAAAGAUCAACACUAGUAGAAUCCUUUGAAAGAACGAUCUCGAUAAAUGAAUGAUCAUCCGAAGAGUUAUAGUGAAAUUUUUUUAUCAAAUAAAAUACUUGAAGAAACUUCAACAAGAAUAGUCUUUGAAAGUAGAGAUGAGAAAGAAACAACAUCCAUAAGAGUUUGUGAAGAGUCAAUUUCUGGAAGAAUUUUCAGAGAUCCCUCAUAUCAAGUCUUCUAUGAAAGAAGAUGUAACAACGAGCGGUGAAUUAAUGAAGGAAACAUCAAGUGAUUUAUGCAAAGAUGUUUUCAAGAAUAUACUCGAUAAUAUUUCUGAGGACUCUUAUGAAUAAUCACCACAGGAAUAAGAACAUACUUUUCAUAAAGCCACAUACAAUAAAAUGGAUUAUAUUGAGGUAAAUUCUUUAACUCACCAACAAAUAUUUAAAGUCACUACUAAUCUUGUUAGAGAAAAUGAGAAAUUAGAGAAGAACAUUAUUGAUUUUAAGUAUUAUAUUGAAUUCUUGGGAAAUAGCAAUAAAAUUCUUAGUAAAGAAAUUGCUAGUAUCAGAAGAGAAUACUUAAAAUCAAAUAAAUGUGAAUCUUGCGAAUCUUUGAAAAAUGAAGUAAUCAGCUUGUAUGAAACCUUAGAGAAAUUAACUAAGGGUAAAUAUUAGAUUUAUUUAAUUCUAUCUAAUUAAAUGGAUUGAUUUAAUAAAAAUGGUUUAAGUUAAAAAAAUAGAUUGCUUAAAAAUAUUUUCCAUAAUAGAAAGAAAUAUAAACCUUGGUUUUUAAAUACAAAUUUUGUAACAAGUUUGGUCAUCUUGAGCCUUUUUUUCUAUGAUAAAUUAAGAGGGUAUAAAGGGAAUAACUCUAUAUCUCUUAAAGUUACUAACGCACUAUGAUGCAAAAAGAUUUGGGUACCAAAGUUCAAAACUUAAUCUAUUUUACAGGAAAUGCUUUGCAACUUUAAAGGGGCUUAUUGAAAAUUUAAUAAAGUUAUGCAAAGCAUGUGUAUAAUAUGAGUAUACAAGAUAAGUAUGAUGACUCGUGAUGAUCCUAAGAAUGUUUGGUCGAGUUUGAUAGAGUUGAUGGUGUUUAUUCAAUGAUGGUUAAUAAUCCUUGAUAAAGAUUUAUCAAACUGUUAGCAUUGAUGGUGGUGCUCAACAAUCGUGUUCAAUCUAAUUGUUAACAUUGAUGGUGGUGCUGAAUAAUUUUGUUUGAUUAAGGUGUUCGUUGGUAUUGAUUGUGGUGUUAACAAUCGUGAUGGUCCUGAUGGCUAUGGAAUAUUAGGAUCUUUGAUGAUUGUGUCACUCUUUAGGAUGUUUUAGCUAGCUCUUGUAUCAAGCAAUCCACAUAGAUGGAUUGUUUUAUAAUGGUUUGUUGUUCCCUCAUAAAGGGGAGUUUUCUCAAGAUAUCUUGAAAUUUUAUAGGUAAAAUACUUGGUAGAACUUGAAUGGAAAAACUCUGAGGAAAUUGUCUGGCAAUUGUUUUUUUUUCACGCUUAGUUAAUAUUAUUUUGGUUUGAGUUACUUAUGUGUGUAGUGAGUGGGCAAAGCAAAAAUUGAAAAAUCUAGGAAAAAGGGUGCAUUGCUGAAAUUUAAGGGUACCAAAAGUAACCAACCAAGCCAAAUCUCGUGCCAAGGCCCUAAAGGAGCAAAAAGGACUGAAAAUAAUCAAAAUAAUCGAUUAGACAUGGGUAUAAUUAAUUAGGGGAUAUUUGAAUUUCAAAUUUCAAAAGUUUGCUCCACAUAAUUGACUAACCCUAAGGUAUAGUCAAUUAUGUCGUAUGAAACUAAGUACCUCCAACAAAUUAAAUUAUGAGAGAUUCUCACAUUUAAUGUCCUAAUCAAUUAUUAGGGGAGAUAAUUGAUUAGAAUCAUCCUACAAAAACGUUAUUUCCUUCUCUCUUUUUCUCAUUCUCUACACAUUUUAUUCUUCUUCUUCUUGUUGUUGUUUGCUCUGUGUUUUUGCAAAUACUCUUGUAGACUCCAUCAUCAUGGCUCUAAAAAUAAUGUGUACAUUUGGAAGCUCUUCAACUGCAACUUACUUCUCAUAGAUCUUUUAAUCUCAAGCGCAAGAGGAUCAAUUUAAUAUAGAUUAUGCAAGAAUAAGAAUCCUUUAUUAAUACCACUUGGAAGAAAAUAUUUUUAAAGAUUAGGAGUUUUUGUAGUUGUUCGAUGAAGCUUGACUAAGGAGCUUGAUAUGUGACAUCUCUGAAGAGAAUUUUCCAAAACUAGUGAGAAUCUUAUAUUCCAAUCUCAACUAUGUUAGGGGAUCCUUACUAGUGAAGUGAACAUGAAAUAAAUCAAAGUAUAUCUUGAAGAGUUUGCUAAGAUCAACAACCUUUUAUGUACCAGUUCAGAGUACAAAGUUGGUGAAGAAGCAGAUAAUGGUUAUUCUUAUACAUGAUGUUGUCUCCUUCCUAGAUAACCCUAGUGCUUGCAUCCCUACUCAUUUCAAGUCAGGCUCAAUGCUUCUAGAUAUCUGUUUAGCUUACUUUGUGGUCACACAUAUUCUUAUCCCAAGGAAGCAUAACUUUGGAAAACUAACCAAAAGCAAUGUUGCGGUGGUUUGGCGACUUGCUAAUAAAAUGGGAACAAAUUGGGUCAGUGCUAAGAUUCAUCAUAUAAUGGAUAGAAAAAUAAAGAAUAUGUUGUUAUCGUUUGAUAAGUUGGUAACAAAAAUCUAGGAGUACGCUGGACUCCACUUUGAUGAUGAAGAACUAGACUAAAAUUACACUAGAAUAAGAAGCAACACAUUAGGAAAAAUGAGAAUAAUCAUCAACACUGGAGUUUUGUCCCAUAAGACUUAUGUAUUGGUAUAUUCACAUAUCGAUUGUCUUCCAAGAUAAAUGUGGAAGUCAUAUGUCCCAGUCCACAAUAGUGCAAAGAGGGAGUCAAAGGGGGAAUUUAUCACAUUCUCCUAAAUAAUAGGGGAUUAACUGUCCCAUUUACUCUUCUCCUAGAGACGACUGUCACAUUAUCCUAAACCUCACAACAAACCCUAAAAGCCUUUAACAACCCUUAAUCAAUAGGGGUUAUCUUGUAUUAUACUUUUAUCAAGUAUAAUUGUCGCCCACGAUGGGGCCUGAUAAAACUGAACUAGGCCACUAUUUACAAAAUUUAACUAGAUUUAUUUCCUCAUGUUCAAAUCCUUUAUCCAUCAUCGUGAAUGAAAAGGCAUAAGUUUUGGCCAACAAUGAGUCUGACAAUAAAGAAAGCGCCACGACAGAGAUGCGAGCUUCCAUGGACGACUUACGUUGCCACAAUCAUACUUUGGAGGAUAUCUUUCUCCAUAUACAACAAUGCAAGCAGGAGGAUGACCAUACAAAAUAGGUUGAAAUAUUGGACUCAUAUCUUCUCUCUGAUGAAAAUGGGAGGUUCCAGUGCCAGAGAAUUUCUAGCCUCCCUUGUUGACUAAUUUUGAUGGGCGAAGUGACCUGUGUGAGCAUAUCGCUUCCAUCAACACGCAUAUGGAAAUUAUUAAGGCCCUUGACUCCUUGAAAUGCAAGGUAUUGUCUAGAACCUUCUGAGAUGCGUACCUAAGGUAGUACAUGAGCAUGUGUUAGCUUUUCAUCACUAGCUAUCAGGAGUUAGUGAAGAAACGAGUCCACCUGUUUUCAGUAAACAAGCACAUAAAGAUGGUCGCCGUCGUCCUUUUCAACAUUCUUCAAGGCCCAUCUGAAUCUCUUAGAGAUAGUCUCGCCCAUUUCAAUGAGGCAAUAAUCAAGUUUGUCACCCCAACUAGGAAAUGUUCGUAGAAGCAUUUCAAAAUGGCCUCAGGGUGUAACAUUAAAAUGAAUCCCUCGCCUAGAGGUCCGCUGCUUCCUUAACUAAGGUAGUGACAUGUGUGAAUUGUUAUAUAAAAGGAGAGGAAAUAAAUUCUAAAAAGAAGGAAGAUAUUCGAAUAAGCGUACUCUAAUCUUGACAACUCACAACAGUCCUGAAAGAAUCAAUACACCUCGCCUGUCAGAGACAUGACAACGUUCAAGAGAAGAGGGAGACCCGUAGAGAGCUUCAUACCCUUGAACACUCGAUGUGAGCAUAUAUGGAGAGAAGUCCUCCACAUGUAUGAUAUUCCACAACCGUCAACUCCCAAGUUAUAUGACGUGGGGCUUGAGCCUAGCAGAUGGUGCAAGUCUACAAUGUGAAAGGGCACCAUACAGAGGAUUGUUAUCAAUUCAAGAAGGAGAUGAAAUGUCUAAUCCGAAAAGGUCACCUACAAAAAUAUAUCAAGGGUGACUUCGUGCAAAGGCCAGAUGAAUCCAGCUCUCAGGAGCGAGAUGCUUCUAGAAAUACCAGGUUCAAAAAGGACACAUAGGCGAGUAGGGGCGAGGAUUGUACGCCACAUCUAUAAUAUAUUUUGUUUUAAAUCUUUUUCUUUUAUUGUUUUAAUCACCGAUGUAUAUAUAUAUAUAUAUAUAUAUAUUGAAAUUAAUCUUUACAAUAUAUAAUAUAUAUUUACUUAAUAGUUAUGUCAUUAUUAUUAGAGGAACUAAAAUCCAAUAUCUAUGUAUUGUAAAUAUCAAUUUCAAUAUAAAUUGAUUUUACAAGGACUAAAAAGUAAAAUAAAAAAUAAUUUAGAAGACCAAAAUCAAAUAAAAAUAAUUUAGUGACUUCAAAAAAAAUAUAUUUUUUCAAAAAUAAAAUACAUAUUUAAACCAUUAAAAUAUAAAUUUAACCCUUGAAAAUUCGAUUCCCCAAUAAGAAAUCUCUUAAACAGGAAACUAAUAUGAAUUUUAUGAAGGAUCUUAAUGCAUAGGAAUUCAAGGUAUAUCUACACACUACCUCAUAAAGGAGUCAAAUAAAUGCUAAUUAGUAAAAAAAAUAUUCAUUCAAGCCAUGAUUGUGAACGAGUUGUUCCCCAAGUAACUUGCUUUUCUUAUGCACACAAUAAUGAAUUUAUAUGUAUCAUGAAAAAGAAUUAAUAACCAGCAAGUUUGCCAGUUGCAUUGCCUAUUACAAAGAAUGAAUAAUAAAUAAAAUUACUCCAAAUGGAAGAGACUUAUACACUUACAAGGACUAUCUAGACUACACACAAAAAUUCAAAUUUCAAAAUCUCAUUCACUAAAUUACAGAUCAAUGUUAAAAGCAAACUCUUCAAAUUCAACACUUUAUCAUAGGGAAAAUAUCAUGAAUUUCACUAAACAAAUUGGACUUAGUUUUAUUGUAACGAAAUUAACAUGAAACUCACCUAUUAAUAAAAUGUAACUUGAAAGGAAAAAAUGUGUUGCUAAAACAAUCACUUAGACAGAAUCAAGCAACACACUUUCCUCAUCAAUGACACAUUCUUGCUCGGUUGAUUUUUGAGCUAACUCCAUUGCUCUUCUAGUUUGUUGUCCCCAAUCAGUUUGAACCAAAGUAUACACCAUCAUACAAACACAUGAAAUUUGUGCUGCCAACAUCCCAUACCACAAACCUACCAAUUCAAAUUUGUACACAAAUGUAGCAAAAAUUGACACCGGUAACCCAAUUAAAUAAAACGCGCACAAAUUAAUCCUAGCACCAACGUAAGGACGCGCGGUUCCAGCUAAAAUCCCACAUGACACCGUUUGCGACCAAUUGCUAAUUUCACAUAACCCUAAAAUCGGAAGUAUUUUUCUUAUCAUAUCAAUAAUUUGCACCUCGUCUGUAAAUAAUCUUCCCCAAGUUUUCCUCACUAAAAUCAAUCCAACAAAAGCCAAUGUUCCAAGUAAAACCGCUAUCAAAAUUCCAAUUAUGGCGGUUCCUUUUGCACGCGAGGCUUGUCCUGACCCUAAUGAAUGACCUAUUCUCGUUGUCAAAGACGCACUAAGUGAAAACGGGAACACAUAAAGAAAACCAAGUGUUUGAAUAAGUAUUCCCAUUGUCGAAACCGAAGUUUGAGGAUUACUUAACAAACCACAAAGAAAAAGCAUUAUCUCAUACCACCACCAUUCUAAACAAACAGUGAGACAACUAGGAAUUGCAAGACUAAGCAAUGGUUUCCAUCCAUGACAAAUAGAGUCAAAUAUCGUAACACCUUGCCAUGGCUUAAGUGGUUUAUUUGAAAAAACAAUAUAAACCAACAUUCCUAAUGUCAUGUUUAUCGAGUUCAUUCCGGUGGCUAAUGCAAUACCUUUUACACCUAGUUUCAAAUAAGUAGCUAGGAAAUAAUUGAUUGGUAGGUGUAAUAGUGCUGCAAUUGAUGCAGCCAUGGUAAUUGGUGGUGUUAAGCCUUGAGUUCUUAAAAAUGUUCUCAAUGGAUUGAGAAAUGCUUGAGCAAAUAAUUCAGGAAUUGAGUAUAACAUGUAAAUUUGUGCAACUUUUGUGACACUAGGGUCUUGACCUAAUAAUUGAAGUAGUGGUUCCAUGUUAAGCCAUAAAAGUGAAAUUGGGAUUGUAACAAGUAGGAGGAGACAUA